rnacentral:lncRNA from 1 species
AAGAUCAGUCUUUUUUUUGCUUAAAGAUGGAUGUAAACUUUGGCGCAAGCAGAAAGUAAGAAAACCUACGAAAUUUUAACUCAAUGGAGCUGUAACCAGACAGCAUCAAUAAUAGCAAUAUUGGAUGCAUUUGGAAUUGCGUAAUUCAUAGGUUCAGCCAAAAGCAGGAGUCAAUUCAAUUGCCACAUAAGGUGGUCUUGGAGCAAACUUUCCAGGGAAAUGAAAAGAGGUAAAGGACCAAAAUGCUUUUCAAAAACUCAUCACUCUCAUUGCCCAAAUUCAAUUCACGGACCGGAAAUUUGGAACCCUAUGGACACGCACACGCCGGUUUUAACUUUUGAAGCCAAAAUGUCAAUUGACAUAUACAAAAAAUGCAAACGGCUGACAAGAGGGAGUCGAGGAGGAAAGGACUUUUAACUCCAAAAAGGCAAAAGAUCUUGAGUUUGGCAGGGAAAAGAUUUUGCUUCUGAUCUAGGGAGAAUCAUGUCAUGGGACUUUUAAUGAACGUUUAACCAAGCACGUUUCAUGGUCCAGGGAGAAUCAUGUCACGACGCAGGCCAGACUCAUUUGAGUUGUACGCCUUAUUGCAUCUUUGGCUAAGCAGGUUUCCGAAUGAGUCCAACAUCUUGUUCAAUCAUGUCAUUGCAAUGGGACUAGCGUAGACUUUCUUGUUGUUUGGAUUGUGAUUUUCCGCAAAAAAAAAAAAAAAAAAAAUCACAUCUUUCGUGGACAUGUUUUCUAAAUUAUUUUUUUAUCUGAUAUCUAUUAUAUCUUCAUAGUACAUUUUUGAAUAAAAAUUUCAAAAAAUAACAAUCCAGACCGACAGUUACUAAUAGAACAACUUAGAGCAUUGAUUCCUUUGUUUUUUUAAAAAAAAAAAAAAUUAUUUGAUGAGAGUAAGUUCUAACCGUGACAUUUGUUGGAUUUUAUUAAAGAGAUGGUAGAUUGCUGGAUUUGGAACUCGUAGUCCGAUGCCUCUCCAUUUUGAAGUUAGGAUAAUUGCUUUAGUUUACUGGUGAAAGAAUUACAAGCAAAUGGCACAGGCCAUGAAAUAGAUCGUUCAAAAGCGUGAUUCUUAAUAAUAUUGUGAGAGACCAAAUUCAUCCUUAGCCUGAAUGAAGGCGUUAACUUGACGCGUGCAAAUGUCGCGCCACCCUAUUCUUCGCUGAACUAGCGUAAAGAUGUAUGUGGGGCAGAAGUUAUAGAAGAACAUAUGGCAGAGAGCAAGUCCUCCAAAUAAUCCUUCAAUUUUAUUUUUUUUUACUAAUCCAUGUUUGAUCCUCCAUCUUAAAAAUGGGACACAAUGGUCCUCUAACAAAAUUUUUUGGGCUAAAUUGAACCUUGUGUGGUGGAAAUACUAAGAAAACUCAAAUCUCACCACCACUUUGGUCCAACCAUUUCUUGGUUGCUCUGCCAUAUAGGGACCAAUUUGAUCCAAAAAUUUUUAUGAAAAACUAUAUAGUAUUAUGUUCCAUUUUUAAGAUGGAGGACCAAGCAUGAAUUCGUAAAAAAGUUGAAGGACUAUUUGAAGAAGUUGCUCUAUUUGCACAAGUUUAGAAGAACAUAUGGUGCAGUUUAUAAGGCCAUGAUAAAAUGAAGAGAGACAUAUAAUUAAUUGGAUUAGUUAAUUUGGAGAAGCAGUCCAGUGGCUGGUGGAAAAAGUAGCAUAUUGAUUUCCCAUCGAUCAUCCGUACUUUUACUUGCAUGAUACCAUCCGUUAUUCGGUUUCUAACUUUCGAGUUGAGAAUUUAGACAAUAAUAUAAAGCUCCUUUACGUUCGGGGAUGCGAUGCAUUUUUUUUUAAAAAAAAAAAAAAAAUUCUCUUAGAUACUAAAAAUACUUCUAAUAAGAUGUUAUAUAACUAAUUCUCGUAACUUAAGAUAUCUAAUUUUUGAUAAUUUAAAAGCACUUCUUGUGUGAGAAGUGCUUUAGUCUAUAGGUCACCGUCAUUAAUAUCCACUGCAGAUUAAUGAAUUCUAUAAUCAGAGACAUAAGUACUGAGCAGUAAUAAUAAUGAAGAAUAAAAGUCACCCUCGGAGCUACGAGUUUGUAUUUUUCAAGUCUUUUUUCAACGAGUUUGUAUUUUUCAAGUUUUUUUCAACUGUCAAUAUAAUUUUCUUCCCAACUAAAUGAGAUAGUAAAUAGUUAUAUAGGUAUUAUAGAGUUGACGGUUUCCUAAGGGAUAGGUUCCAAAAUUAUUACACAUCAACCUAAGCUAUAAUUGUUGGAGGCAUUAUAGAGUACACUUGACAGUUUAGAUCGACCUAAGCUAAUCACAUUCAAAUUUGUGCUAUCAACUCUUGAAAAAUAAAAAGGAAACAUAUAAAUUUAAAUUAAACAGCCCAAAUCACAUUAUUGUAUUCUAUUUUGAUAAGUUGACUUAGCACAAUUGUGCAUUUUUUUUGCUAUUGUUAUUGCCAAAUUACUGGAUUCCACCAAUUUUUAAGUUGUUCAAUUAUAAUCUGUAUAUAUUAAUCCCUCGAUAAUGUGGGUUAAUUGUAAUCAUAUCAAACAAAUUAUUGGUUUCCCUAUGAAGAAAAUUCAUAUAUCUGAUGUUAUAUUCUAUUAAGGAGUUAUCAUAACUAAUCUUAACUUGUUUAAUUUCUGAUUUCUCAUUUGUAAAUUUUUUUUUUGUCAAGGUCCUACAUGCAUUAUUGAUGGCACAAUAUCUACUAUCUAAGAUCAAUCCAACUAGAAAUUAUUUGAUUUCCCAUUUUGUUCGGACUGAAAUUUUAAAAAAAAAUUAAAACAUUUUUUUGUAAUUAUAUUUUUUAAAUCAUGUUUAAUUUCAUAUAUGUCAAAUCAUUAUAGUAGUAUAUUUUUCUAUGAAAACUCCAGAACACAACAAUUUAUAUGUGACCUAAUUCGACUAAACAUAAAAAAGAAAAAAAAAACAUUGGAUGGAAGAUCAAUUGAAAAUUUUGUUUAAAAUAACCAAAUAUUAGAUGUGAUAUAUAUGAAAUAAAACUGUAAUCAAAAUAAGGGAAAAAAUAAUACAAAUAGUUUGAAGGUCAGUGUGUACAUAUGUGUGUGUGUGUAUAUAUAUUUUAAAGCGUGCGUACAAUUCGUGUUCCCGCGUGAUGCUGUCCAGAUUGAAGCCUAAGCUUGGGGACCAAGCACAAGUAGAGCAUGGAGAGCAAGCAGAGACUCACUCUCCUACGACACCUUCUCCAACUACUAUCUCGAAUCCACCAUUCACAACUAAACACGUAAUUAAAUCGGCAGCACCUUCUGUGACGCCGCAUCCUUAUUUCCACCUGUACUGCUUGCCGAGGAAGGAUCAUCGUACACCGUAUAUUUUUGCUUCAUGCUGUGGUAUACAUUAUAGUAAUUCGUGUGAACACAACACUCGAAAACUGUCUUGUUUUAUCGUAGGACUCACCUCAGACCGCAGUCGGCUUCGAACAUCCCAAUUCCCAACCUCCUCCUUUCCUAUAAAAUAGUACGAAACCAACGUCCAUAACUCGUUUGAGUUCCCCAACAACUUCUGCUUCCGGUUCCGGGCUCGAACCUCACUCACUGAGUUCCCCAACAACUCAGUUUGAGUUGCUGAGUUCCGAACCUUCAGCAGAUUCCAAAAGUUUAUCCCCGGUCCAAAAAAUGCAGACAUUCUCGGAGAUGCAAUCUACGGCAACGAGCCUUUUCUCGGCCUACGCAUCUUUGGCCGGGACCAUUAUGCUCUUUCGGUCACUGGUCAAUGACAUUAUUCCACCUUCCCUCCGAUCCUAUAUCCAAUCAUUUUUAGCUUACCUUUUCACCUUUCCGUCCACUCAAAUCACCAUCAUCAUAGACGAGCAAAACGGCAUGACUCGGAACCAGGUUUAUGACUCGGCCGAGAUAUAUCUCAGCACCAAAAUCUCCCCAACCACGGAGCGAUUCAAAGUCAACAAGUCCCCUAAGCAGAGGACCAUCAAUGUCACCAUCGAGAAGGACCAACAGAUCACGGACACAUUUGGUCAAAUCCAAUUGCAGUGGCGUUUCGUGCUGGUUGAACCUCGAAAUGACCAUGGGUACUCCCCGGAAAAACGGUUCUUCGAGCUCAGUUUCAACAAAAAACACAAGGAUGCUGUUAUGAAAGAUUAUUUGCCUUUCAUACUGGAGAAGGCGCGGGAGAUUAGGGACAACGAUCGGGUGGUGAAGCUGUAUACUAGAGAUUGUCCAUAUAAUGACGAUGAUUAUAAUUCUUAUAACGGUGGUGGCGGAGCUGGGAUCUGGGGAGCGAUUAAUUUGGAUCAUCCAGCGACGUUUGACAAGCUGGCCAUGGAACCGGAGAUGAAGAGGGCUGUGAUUGAGGAUUUGGAUAGGUUCGUGAGGAGGAGGGAUUAUUAUAGGAAGGUCGGGAAGGCAUGGAAAAGAGGAUAUUUGUUGUACGGACCGCCCGGGACGGGAAAGUCUAGUUUGAUAGCGGCCAUGGCUAAUUACUUGAAGUUUGAUAUCUAUGAUCUGGAGCUUACGAGUUUGUAUUCAAACUCUGAACUGAGGAGGAUCUUGAUUUCCACCUCCAACAGGUCCAUCAUUGUUAUUGAGGAUAUCGAUUGUAGCGUGGAGAUGCAUGAUCGCCAGCAGGAGCAGAAUGUUGGCCAUGAACCAUCAACUAAGGUCAGUCCAUCUUCCAAACUCAUACGACGAUAAUCAAUUAAGAUAAUUUUGAAGGUGGUUUAUUAAUCUAAUCUAUUUUUUUUUUUCGUUUCAGUUGACGCUGUCGGGACUGUUAAAUUUCAUUGAUGGGCUGUGGUCGAGCUGUGGAGACGAGAGAAUUAUUGUUUUCACUACCAAUUAUAAAGAGAAGCUCGACCCUGCUCUGUUGCGCCCGGGUAGGAUGGACAUGCAUAUUCAUAUGUCCUAUUGUACACCUCAAGGAUUUAGGAUAUUGGCCUCUAAUUACCACGGCAUUAAUGGUUACCAUCGGCUUUUUGGUGAGAUUGAUAGGUUAAUCGAGAAUUCUCAAGUUACCCCAGCUGAACUUGCAGAAGAACUCAUGAGAAGUGAGGACGCUGAUCUUGCAGUUGAGGGAGUUAUUAACUUGCUCAAGAGAAAGGAAAUGGAUCAAAGUGUUGAGGUGAACGGUAGUUCGCGUCCAACAACUCCUGAAGAGAAUAACGAAAUCGUGGAAGAAUCGAGUCCUCUUCUAGAAGAAUUUCAGGAGCCAAAAAGGAAAAUAAGACCCGAGUUCGUUAUGAGGAGAGGCCUAAGAACUACUUGCAGGAGAAGAGUGAACAGAGGAGGGAAUAGCAGAUUUAUGGUGGGUGGAUUUAGAGGAAAAUGGUCAUAGGCCAAAAAAGAGGUACCUAGCGCCUUCCUGUGCAUUAAUUAAUACUCUUGCGAGACCCAAGAAAUUGAUGAAUCCAGAAAUCUGAGAUGCUAUAUGGCAGUUUGAUCAAGCUUUUAUGCAAAUUUCCACGGGAAUAGAGCAUCUGUCUCGUCUUAUGAGGUCUAAUUAAUCAGAUCGAUCUAAUCUCACUUUCCAAAAAGAAAAAAAAGGAGAGCCGAUGGUUAUUUGCUGAGAAAGGCAUAUAAUUUUGUUGAAUUCUCAGUCCACCCACCACUUUUUGCUUAGCGUGAGAUUUUUGUAUCGUAAAUUUGAAAGAGAAAAGAUAAAAAAAAGGUUUACUAUGAAUUUUUUUCCGCCACAAAUUGUGACAAAUAUGUGGGAGGCAGGGAUUGAACUCCUGACCUCCAGCAUCACCUUUAAUGGUGAUGACCACUGGACCAAAUGGCCAGUGGCAAUCAGAUAGAUAGUCGGCCUUUGUAAUUUUUGUAGGAAAUCAUUGGAUCAAAAACCUCACCCCUCAGAAAAGAGCACCGUAUUAGUAGUACAAUAGGUACCUCGUCAAAAUUCCAAGCCCAUUCAACGUUACCUUACCUUGGCAUUGUAGUGACAUUUUAUACUUUUCGGAAAAGAAAAGGAUAGAGCUUAUCAAUGAGUGAGUGAUCAUGAGAAGCAGCCAACUGGCAUCCUAAAAAAUGACAGCACCAGACUCUGCGUGUGCAGCGACAAAGCCAGGAUUUUUUUUUUUUUGGGUCAAAAUUUUUUCCUAAUAAAAUUAUCUUAAUAUAUUAUGUUUAGAAUAAUUUUCUUCUAUUUAAAUAUAUGAUAUCUAAAAAUAUUAAAUAUUAAAUAUUAAAUAUAAUUAUAAAUAUAUGUCUAUUCAUAAUAUGCGGUAUAGUCAUAACAAAAAUUAACAAAAAAGAUAACUUUUGAUUAAAUAUCUUAUAACAUCACAAACCAUCCAAUUUGCACAUUAUGAGAAGAUGCUCUCCCAUAUGUCACCUAUGCAAUAUAUAUAUAUAUAUAACCAUGUAAUAUAAAUGUAACUAUUUUCAAUUGAAAAAAGAUAAAAGUUAUGUUAACAUAAUUUGAAAUUUCAACAUCUUUUCUUAGAAGUAAAUUGAGCUCUACGCUCUUUCAUAAAACUAAAUUCAUCUAUGAUUGAAUCACUGCUAAAUUUUUCAGCAACUUCCUUUUCUAUAUACACAGUUAGACAAUCAUUCAAGAAAUUAUCUUCCAUAUUGUUUCGGAGCUUUGUCUUGAUUAUUUUCAUAAUUGAAAAUGCCUACUCUAUAGUUGCAGUUGAUAUAGGAAGAGUAAGAACAAGUCUAAUCAAUCUGUUAAUAAGAGGAUAUAUCACUGAUUUUCUUGUCUUCACCAAGUCUUGACAUAACUCAUGAAUACCAGAUAAUUCUUGCAAUUCAGGAUGAUUUGGAUUUGGAAUGUCAAGCUCAAAAUGUUGAAAUUCUAUUCUUAGACGUACUAGUUAUUGCUUUUAACAAUUAUGAAUUGGGUCUUUUUAUUCUAAUACAUCACAUUGGGUCAAUUUACUAUGGAACAUCAAAUUAUAUGUUUAAUUUUUUAAAGUUAAAUAAUCAGUACAAUAAAAAAUAAAUAAUUUUUUUUGAAGAAAAAAAUUAAUUCAAAGAUGACUAAUUCAUAUAUAUAUAUAUAUAUCAACUCUUAUAAUAUAAAACUAAAAUUGUAAAAAUUUAGGGGGGGCCAAUUUUGUUUUACACACAUAUUUACAUAUUAUGAAUUAAAAUUUUUAAAACUCAUGGCCCCCCUCUGCCCCCCUUGCUCCAUCAUUGUGUGUGUGACACUGUUUCACUCUUUUUUGGCUGCUUUCUCUCCUUUGCAACCGUGCUUACUCCCUCACCCCACAAAUAAUGCAAAUUUACCCCUUUUUUACAUUCUUUUUCCAAAGCACGUGUAGAAAGUUAUUCGGUGCAUAUUUGUAUUGUUUUUUUGGUGUAACCCACUGAUAUUUCAGUCUGUUUUAUAAUUUGUGACUAAUUAUGUUCGAAUCGGAUCAGAUCCCUUGUAGGAAAACUUUCCCAACACUGUCCUUUCCAUUUUCAUGGAUUUCGAACCUGAAACCUUAUGAUUAAGAGAUCCAAGUCCCUUUCACUUGCAUCAAUAUGCGUUGAUGUAUUUGUAUUCAUUGUUGUAUAGCAGUAAUGGUUCCUUGAAAGGCUGGAAAAUUAUGCAUUGUAGUCUGACGUAGUCAAUACUCCCUCCCUUUUUUUAUAACUGACGUUUAAGAAAUUUGCUCUAGUGUACUUUUAUCUGUCAUUUUAUUAUCCCCAUACAGCAUUAAUUACUUUUUCACAAUUUUACCCUUUUAUCUCUCUGGUAUUAAUACACUCCCAUGCAUUGCUUUUGGCUUAGUAAAACAGCACCAUUUAGUACUAUAGUAAGAGAAAACUUGGGUGAAUUGGACAAUUAAUGAGGGUACAAAAGGAAAGUAGUGUACAGAUUUAAGCAUUGAAAAACUUUUCUUAAUUAGUGUGCAAAACCUUAAACGUCAGUUAUAAAAAAAGGGAGGGAGUACAUAAUAGCAAAACCGUGUUUUCGGCCUUUUAAUUUGCUUCAAAACAUCAUGCACACAUCACAUUUGUAAUAAAAUGUGCUUUUAACAAAAGUAGAGGUGUACAACUUUUCGUAGUAGGAAAAAACAGCAAUGAAAGAAAUAAAGGCAAGUUGACAGCUUACAACAUGGUUUAUCAAUUCCCUCUGGUAAAGAGCAUGUCCAUAUGUUGAUUUUCUAAUUGGUACUUUGUUCUUCAAUGUACGAGUACAUGGCUCUCUCUCUCCCUCCCUCUCUCUCUCUCUCAUUAUUAUUUUUUUUGAAAGGAAUACAUGGCUUAAAUUUGAUGUAUUUUUUAAAAAAAAGUUGAUAGUUUUCUAAUAGAAUAGUGGACUGAACGAUUACGUUUGACAACUUUGUCUAUCUCUCAUUCAUUCUUUGAGAAUUAGAAAGAUUCUUUAUAUGAUAGAUUAAAUAUUAAAAAAUUUGUUAUUGACACUCUCUUAAAUAUUUUCUUGAUCAUUUAAAAAGACAUGAAUACACCUUCUUAUAAUUGCAAUUACAAUUACCAUAUUUUUUUUCUUGUACAAUAAUUAAACUAUUCAAAUGAAACACAUAGGCGUGGUUGUCUUUUCUUUCAACAAAGAGAUAAAAAAAAAAAAGGGUGUGGUUGUUCUUUCAUAUGUUGCAAUUUGCCAAAAAAUAAAGGAGUGUGGAUGACAAAUUUGGAAGUGAUAUAUCAGCUCGACAGUUCCCAAUAGGAAAUUACAAUUUUGCAAUCGUGCCAUUGUGGUAUGUGCUAUUUCCGGAAAUACCCGUAUUGUUUUUGCCACUUACUUAUUAGUUCGAGUAAAGCCAACCGGUCCGAGUUUUAAAUUCUCAACCGCCACCAAUCGUCGUGUUUUCUGAUCCACCUGCCCUAACCUUGCAACCAGUCGAUUGAAGGACGCUGGCCGGUUCACCUUAACGAGUCUGCAAACGCAUUUACACGGGGACUCACUGAGUUAGGGUUAUCGAGAAGUUUCUUACCUAGAUCUUUACUUUCAGGUAAGGAGGACCUCGCAAUUCUUUUAAAUUUUGUGCUGAAUUCGUUAAUUGUUUGAAGAAUAUCCCGUGGUUUUAUUUCUUUGGCUCUGAUUUUAGAAUCUGCUAGAUUCCAAGGGAAAAGAGAUGGAUCCUAACGCAGUCAAAUCAACUUUAUCUAAUCUGGCAUUUGGAAAUGUAAUGGCAGCAGCAGCUCGUGAUUAUCACAAGGUUAUCUAAUAUUCCUUCCCCGUUUAUUUCCUUCUUAAAAAUUCUGUCUUUUGCUUGUUUAUCACUGUAGAGUUUCAAAUUUUGGUAGUCCUGCAAAAUGAGGAAGUGUGCAAUAUUGCAUAUUUGGAGUAGCUUUAGACCAAUUGCUACCAUGCUGGGUGAGAAACGCGUUUAUGAAAGCUUUAGUCCAUGCAAAACUUUUGGUACGAGCAAUUUACACCAUGCAAAACUUCUUUUGCCCUCCUUAGAUCUCUGAAUGUUGUGGUUUUUGGCAAUGUGUUUACCCGUUUUAUUGCCAAAAUAUGAUAAUUCUGUCCUCUUUUGAGGCCAUCUUUGGCUGCCACUUGUAGUAGAUGUUGGAUUGGGAGCUGUGUUUAGAGCAAUCACCGUGCUUUUGGUGAGACUUCUGUACAUUCAGCACUGCAUAGAUGUCAGCUGAAUGAUCUUAGACACCACAUGAAUUUGAAGCAUACUGCAUUCAGACAAAGCUUAAGCUUUCCUUAUUUUUUGCUGACAUCAAACGUUAUUCCAAAGACAAAAAGACUACAUUACAUGCAUGUAUGUGGUCGGGUGCUUUUAUAUUGAAGAUACUGGUAUCUGGUUAGUUACCAUGGUGCCAUUCCAAGAAUUUAGCACGUCGAACUUUAAGGUUAUCAGGCUACAUGAUGAAACAAUUUUCAUAGCAUUUUGCUGAGUACCUUCCUGCAUAACUUUCGUAAGGUCAAGUUAAAUAAAGCAUCAUCACCUUGUGGUUAGUGCACUUUUUCAGGCAUAAUUGUUCUCUCUGGUAUAUGUCUAAACUACUUCAUUCAACAAUGCUAUUGAAAGUAGCAGUUGUGGCUGUUUGUGUUUAUGAAGAUAUGAAUUUGAAUUGUUUGAGUUGUCUUUUAUGUAUUAUACAGGAAUUGAUGGCUCAAGAGAAAGCCCAGGCCUCGGCUACUGCUAAUGAGGAGGUUGAUCUAGAUGAAUUGAUGGAUGUAAGUAGAAUAUGCAUCUUCCAUUUUUCUUCCUGUACUAAUGUGUUUUGAUCUGCCAGUAUUUGACAUUUUUCCUAUAAUAGGAUCCCGAGCUGGAAAGGUUGCAUGCUGAUCGGAUAGCUGCUCUCAAGGUCUGAUAUUUGGUGUGACUAAAUGCAUAGUGAGGUUCUGCUUGUAUUGCAGUUUGUUAUAGCUAAAAUAUUUCAAAUUCCUUGUUUUGGCUUCUGAAGAAAGAAGCUGAGAAACGACAAGAAUUGAAGCGACAAGGGCAUGGAGAGUAUAGGGAGAUAACUGAAGGGGAUUUUCUGGCUGAAGUUACUGGCACCGAAAAAGUUAUUUGUCAUUUUUACCACCGGGAGUUCUACCGUUGCAAGUAAGAAUGAUUUCUUCGGAGAGUCACUAACAAACACUCUGUAUAGUAAAGAGAUAGAUAACUAAUACAUGAGCUUCAAUACCAUCUUACCAUAGUUUUUUUUUUUUUUUUUUUCUUAAAACCAAAGUUGACAUCCAGAAGACUACUGUGGUUUAAGCAAUCAUGUGGUGGAAGACAUGUCGCAUUGGUUGUUUUUGUAUACAUGCUCUGGCUCAAACGCCCUUGCAUGCGCUCAAGACAAGAUCAGACGGGUUCUUAUUAAUUUUUUUUUAAUACUUUUAGGAUCAUGGAUAAGCAUUUGAAGUCUCUUGCGCCAAGGCAUUUGGAAACAAAGUUCGUCAAAUUAGAUGCAGAGGUAAGUUUUUUCAUCUAGUCUUUAAGUGCUUAUGCAUUUGGUGCGGUAUUUGACGUGACUGACCAUGGGUCAUGACGGACUUUUGCAGAAUGCACCUUUCUUUGUUGCUAAAUUAGCUAUCAAAACUCUGCCUUGUGUAAUAUUCUUCAGGUUUGUUCCACAUUGCUUUUUCUAUUUUGAUUUCAUUUAUGUGGUCUUUUUCUCCUUUUGUUUAAAGUUUUUUUGUAGGUAGUGAUCCUCCAUUUGGUUUCUUGGAAAUUGGUUCCAGAAGUAUGUAGUAGCAUCCUUAAUUUAGGAUAACUCAUAUUACCAUAUGAAAAUAUAUGGGUCUCUAAGAAAGCAAUGUAUCAAACAAUCCAAGGACCUCUUAUGGUUCGGAUGUUUAUUUCAAGGGUCUAGCUCAUUGAAGUUUCUGCUGCGUGUAAUGGUUUCAGCAUAUUUUUAGGGAACUUCCUGACACUGUUUGUUUUUCUGAGACAGUAAUGAUUUGUCCAACCCAACAAAUUUGGUAAUUCUUAAGUUUGGGAGUCAAAGUAGAGCCUUCUAUUCUUUUGAUUAUUUCUGGGUUACCGACUUUUGCUCUGCUAAAUCAAGGUUCUGGAUGUUGACUUGGAUUUCAUGUUCCACCCUAUUUUAGGUCCCCUGUUAAGCUUGUGCUCUUGAAAAUCACAUUCAAUACAUCCCUGAAUAUCAACUCUUCUUAACUAUCUUCGAGAGUCUCAUUUCAUCAUUUUUUAUUAGCAAACCAAGAACCAAGGAAAAUGUUCAUGUUUUUCUUUGAAUUAAUCUUUUUUUCAGGAAUGGAAUUGCAAUAGACAGGUUGGUAGGGUUUCAAGACUUGGUAGGAAAAGAUGAUUUUACUACAAAGGCACUUGAAAUUCUUCUUUUAAGGAAAGGUAAUACUUUUACUCAUUGUUGGCUGCACUCAGUGAUAUGGCAGUUUCUAAUCCACUUUUUGCAGAAAUGAUCAAGGAGAACAAAUUAGAAGAAGAAGAGGAUGAUGAUUAUCACGAAAAUAGACAGAGGACAGUGAGAUCAUCUGUGAACGCUGAUUCAGAUUCAGACUGAAUGAAUUGUGAUUGCUUGAUUUCAAUGUAAUGCAUAUACUUUCGGAUGCUUGAUUUCUUCAAAUUGUUGCUAUUUAUUCAUUCCAUUAUCAAUUACUUCAUCUGAGAUUAACUUCUUCCCAUGGGAUUGCAAUAAUGAUGCUGCAUUUUUCAGAUUACUUCUGGCUGAAUCAGGAAGGUAGCCAAGAUAGCUACAAGAGUACUCAAGUCAGUUGAUCUGAAUUGGUGUUUAUACAUAAGAGCUGUGUGAUGCAAUGAAGCCACUUCUUUAGCUGACUGAGGCAAUGGAGUUUGUUCUUGAUUUGUGCUAGGCUUUCAUAGUGGUCGUCUUCUAGUCCGUUGGAGUCGUGUAGUAGAGAAUAUGUAUUUCUUCAAAUAGGUUAUCCUAUCUGCAACGAGCAGCACCAAUCUGAUUCCCACUUCUAGAAAAAUGUUUUUGUUACCUGAGGUUGCUACAAAUUUGCUGCCUGCAGGACUGAAACUUGCCUCUUUUCUAGAUUGCAGGAAUUACCAACUUUGUCAUAAGUGGGUGCCUUUGUUAUCAUAUUGAUUUCUAUCUUUAAGUCUUGUUAUUUUUAAACUUCGCAGGGGUCAAUUUUCACUAGAAAUGGGCAUUUUACGGGAUUGGCUUUGUAGUUUAGCAGCAAGGUGCCAUAUCAGUGAAUGAAAAUCAAAAUUAAAGUUGCAAGCAGAGGAAAGGACUAUGGUUAUUGAUGAUGCUUUUAGCCUCUGCUGUCUUUCACAGCUUCUCUUUCUUCAUUGGUAAAAAUUUGUCUAACAAGCAAAUGUAAGUGAAGAACAUGUACUUGGCUUCUCGCUAUAUCAGGGAAACAAUUUAAGGCGGGAAGGAGGAGGAAUUUGCAGAACGAUGAUAGCAGAAUUCUAAUAUAUCAAGCUUAUUGGUUUUCAUGCUUUUCCAACUGAAAGAAAUUGCCCUUUUAUUUUUUUAGGGUGAAAAAUCUGCCCAUCCUUCACUUUUCACAUUUCAUCCCCAAGCGGAAAAGGUUACAAGAGGCCUGAAAGAGAAGAAUACAGCAGAAUUGAUCGAUUUCAGCAGAUACCUUUUGGUCCUUUGGGAACCAUGAUUGUCUAAUUAGCUCCAUCUCCAGUAGGAUAGGACGCACAAUGACAUUACUUGAUGCGGGUUUAAGCAAUUUCUUGGAGGUGAUAUAUUAUUGUAAAAGAAAGGAUAUCUGCUUCUUCGAAGAAAUGAGAUGAUUAUAAAAAAAGAAGCCACCGGGUUGACUUGGAUGACACCUCGGUCUUUUGAUUUUCGGUAUUUCUUGGAAGCCGUGUUCCUGUUGGUCCUACCUUCCGUGUGUGAACUACCAUACUCGAAACGAAACAAUCGUUGCAUUUCUUCCGAGUCUUCCUUUGCUCGUCCACUCCGCUUUCUUGCUAUAUUUUCUCCACUAUACUGACUAUAUCUUUUCUGGCAAUAAUCACGAUCAAAGUGCAGGAUUCUCAAAGAUUGAAAUAUAUAUAUAUAUAUUUAUAUAUUGAAGCCGUCUAGGGGAGGAUUUGACCUGAAGAAGGUAUUUUGAAGAAAUAUCUUUUACUGCUCAACGGUAAGCGCAUUUUCCAUUACGUUCACGUUCUUCCUGCAUUAUAUUCGUCAAAUGAAGUUUUAUGUAAUUUGAUCAUUCUUUUGUUUUCUGUUUCUCAUUUCUGUCCCGUAUUUAGCUAUAUCCUUUCCGGUAAUACUAAUUGUUUCUAAAAUCAGAUGCAAAAAUUUUGGCCGCAAACAGCAAAAUCUUGGUAGUUUACUUAUCUUUAUGAUAUUGUCAGUACAUAAAUUAGGGGGAAAAAAGGUGUGAAGCUGAUACUUCUGAUGUCAAAGUUUAAAGAUUCUUCAGUUCAUUCUAGCUUAAUCUGCUUAAAAUCAGAUUAUCGUUCAAGCUUUAUAGGCGAGGGCUACGUUAGGUGCUCUAGAUAUGUUUCGUACCGGUCGAGAUAAACUAACAAACAACUGAGGAACUUGUACUUACUUCACACCCUAAUUACACGACGAGAUGGACUUUUCAAGUGAUAAACUAUCUUUUAAAAUUGACUUAAAAAACGAUUGAAGAAUCCUUCUUGGUCUUGGAGGUUAUUUUGACAGGAUAAGAAAUCAAAGAUAGCAUCGCAUGCUAACUUGCGACUAGUUUGACUUCUCCGAAUUUUGGAAAUUAGGAUCAAAAUUUCCUUUUUUUGACCAUGAGCGAUUGAUGUAAAGUAGAUAUUCUUGUGCAGAAGCACAAUAAAAGAUGGUGGAUGCAGUGGUUUCAGUGUUCUUGGAGAAGCUUCUUAAUGCUUUCCAGGAGGAGAGCCAAUAUCUGAGCAAGUUUAGAGAGCAAUUUGGAAGAUUGAAGAAUGAGCUGCUACUCAUGGAAAGCUUCCUAAAAGAUGCGGAUAGGCUCAAGAGGAAAAACCAGAUUCUUCGAAGGAUAAUGAUGUGUUUACGUGAUCUUAUAUAUGAAGCUGAAGAUAUACUGAUAGAUUGCCAGGCUAUACCAGUUCGCGCAAAUGCGGCUUCAAAGUUCGCUAGUCGUUUCUGUCCCUCAAAACUUCCACUUCAAUACCGAACGGGGAAGCGUCUAUGUGAGAUUAAUGAGAAAAUCAGAGACAUAAAACAAAAUAUUUCAUCCUAUCUGGGGGUGCCGCUUUUGAGUGAAACCCGUAGCAUGGAGACUCAUGACCAUCUCAUGUCCAGAUGGAGCUCACCAGUGUAUGAUCACUCCCAGGUUGUUGGUUUAAAGGAUGAUACUGAGAAGAUGAAGAAUUGGAUAUUGCAGUCAAAUGAUGGCAUCGUUUCCAUUGGAAUUGUUGGAAUGGGAGGAGUGGGGAAGACUACCAUUGCUCAAGAAGUCUUCAAUGACAGAGAGAUAGAGGACAGGUUUGAAAGAAGAAUCUGGGUCUCUGUUUCUCAAACUUUUACUGAGGAGCAGAUCAUGAGAAGCAUAUUGAGGAGCUUAGGGGAUGCAUGUGUGGGCGACAAUGAAAGUGAAUUAUUGACGAAGAUAAAGCAGUAUCUCUCAGGAAAGAGAUAUUUGAUUGUGAUGGAUGACGUCUGGAGUUUGGAUAAUACUUGGUGGCUUAGAAUAUUUGGCGGGUUGCCUCAAGGAAAUGGAAACUGCGUAAUUAUUACUACAAGAAUUGAGAAAGUUGCUCGGAAGAUGGGAGUGAGGGAAUCAAGGACUCAUUGGCCCAAAUGCCUCAAUGAGGACUAUAGUUGGUUACUGUUUCGUAAGAUAGCAUUUGCCGCAACUGGGGGUGAGUGUCGUCACUCUGAGUUAGAGGAUGUUGGGAAGGAGAUUGUUGAGAAGUGCAAAGGGCUUCCAUUAGCUAUUAAAGCAGUGGGAGGAGUGAUGCUGUGCAAACCACCUCAUUAUCAUGAAUGGAGACGAAUCUCAGAUCAUUUUCGUGAAGAAUUAGCUGAAAAUGAUAACUCUGUGAUGGCAUCACUGCAAUUGAGCUAUGAUGAACUCCCACCCUACUUGAAGUCAUGUUUCCUCUGCUUCUCAAUCUUUCCAGAGGAUUGUGUCAUCGAUAAAGAUCAAUUGGUUCAUUGGUGGAUUGGUGAGAGUUUCAUGCCUGUGAGAAACCAUAGAUUAUCAACUGAAGUUGGAGAAGACUGUUUCUCAGAGUUGACAAAUCGAUGUUUGAUAGAGGUGGUUGACAAGGCUUAUAACGGUCGGAUCCAGACUUGCAAAAUACAUGACAUGGUUCGUGACUUGGUGAUUAGAAUUGCUGAAGAUGAUGCAUUUUCCAUUCCAUCUGAUGCUAACUGCCGCCAUCUUGGUAUUAGCAGUGACAUGAGUGCACGUAACCUGGCAGCUGAUCAAAGGUUGCGAGCACUGCUCACUACAACCAAGAUUGGUGAGGUAAACAAGAUUGGUUCAAAAUUGGCAAAGAGUUUCUGCAGAUGUUGCCAUCUGCAGAUACUCGAUCUUUCCAAAUCGAUUUUUGCAGCAUCGCUUUCAAGUUUGUUGGAUGAAGUAGGAACUCUCCAGCAUUUGACCUGUCUGAGCCUAAGCAAUACUCAUCCUUUAACCCAACUCCCAAUUUCACUAUCGAAGCUCCAAAAGCUGAAGAUUUUGGAUGUCAGUUAUUGCCAGAAUUUGAACAUGCUUCCAAGUUGUAUAGUAGCAUUUGAAAAGCUCGUGGUGUUGGAUGUCAGCAAUUGCGGUUCUCUUGAGUACCUGCCCAAAGGAUUAGGGAGGCUUUCCAACCUUGAAGUGUUAUUGGGCUUCAAGCCAGCUAUGCCAGUCGAAUGUGGAGGUUGUCGCAUUGCUGAACUGAAAAGCCUGUCAAGACUGAGAAGAGUAGAUUUAAGGCUUACUCAUGGUGAUGAGAUUGGAAAUGACGAGGUUGAUGCAUUAGUAAAUCUCCAGGAACUGCAAUUCUUAACACUGAACUUCUUUGAUAGUCAUGAUGAUGAUCUUUUUUUGAAAAUCAACAAACUUCUCCCUCCUCGACAACUGCAUGAGCUGAGUUUUAAAUUUUAUCCUGGGAAAAUAAGUCCAGAGUGGCUGAACCCCAGGUCGCUUCCUAUGUUGAGGUACCUGUCCAUUGUUUCUGGAAGCCUCGCAAAAUUGAAUGAUAGCUUCUGGGGCCUUGGAAAUAUGGUAUGGAGAAUUGAGGGCUUAAAAUUUGAAGCUUUAUCAGACUUGAAUGAGGAAUGGUCAAUGAUGCAUCAAGCCAUGCCAUCCCUGAAAAUACUGAAUGUGAGCUGGUGUCCUGAGCUGGAGUCUUUCCCAAUUGAAGAUGCUGGAUUUAGAGGAGGGGUUUGGAAGAAGGAAGAGCAAAGGAGCUAGCAAGACUUAAAAGGUGCAAUACAAGUAACAACAGUUCUUAUACAGUCCCAGCACUGAUUGAAUAAGCUCUUGCAUGUCAUCAUGGUCCUUGCCAUUGAAGUGUUGCAUUUCAUCACUUUGCUUCGGGAUUGGUUCAUAGCCCAUUCCUCCAAUGUUACAAAACUCCAUGCUUCUUGGAAGGGGUGGUCGAAAUAAGCCGCAGCUGCGCCUUCCUUCGGUGGGAAAUUCUUCUCUUUUUGAGUUGGGCUCCUAAAACCGGGCUUCAACAACUCUCGCCAGUUCCCUGAGGCCCUGAUUUUGAUUUAAGGGAGUUUCUUUAUUUUUCGGCCUAGAGCUAUUCAGCCUCGUUACCUUGUUUAUCCGCAAACUAUAUAUGGAUUGGGGUGUUUCAGUCCCCCCAUCUAUGCGGCAAGCUACCCCAAUCUCCACCGUGAAAAUGUCCAACUAAUAGGAGAUUAUGUUUUGUUGUAGGCUCUUAUUUUUUCACAAGAUAGUCUGCUAAUUGCUGGAUAUAUUUAAAUUCCUACCACAUGAUUUAUCUAAUACUUUCUAAAAUAGGGUGGUCAACUUUCAUUGUAGUAAUUUUUUUCCCUCCCUAGGCAACACAUAUAUAUUACUUUAGUUGGAAAAUUAUGGUUGUACAAGGGAUUAAAUGGAAAGACCAAUAUAAAUCAAUAGUACACAUUGGAUCUUUUAAUUGCAAUCUACAAUCGGUGGUGAUUAACAAGCGGGUAGUCAACUGAGGAUUUUUUUUUUCCAUCAUGAAUCUGCAGUCCGACUUUAUGAACCUUACAGUUGGAGUCAAUUUUCUUUUCAUUAAUCAUCAAUUGUUAAAUAAAAAAAAAAGGGGGUGGUUCAAGUCUUUAAGAACCUAUUCUUGAAUCUCAAGCAGUGUAAUUCAAAGCUAUCAUAAAGCUUCAAUUUAUGCUUCGUUCGGUAAUAGCAGUGUAUCCGAGAAAAAUCUGAAUGAUUAAGGGAAGAAAUUGUUUGAACAGCGUAGUAUCCAAAACAUGAUGCUGAGUUCACUGAUUCAACUUCUUUGCCUCUUUUUUCUAACUUGUCUUCGGAUAUUGCUUGAAAGAGUUGUCGCGAAUCAUCCCAAUAAUCAACAUCACUAUGAUGAGCAAAAGAGAAAACAGCAAAUGGAAAAACUAAAGCGGCCAGGACGUCCCUUCCGCAGAAAAUGAUCAUAAUAGUUAUCCGUAAAAUACAACAAAACUUAAAAGACAAGGGAAGGUGCCUAAAAGAGAAUACAACAAAACUGUACCUUGUUGUCUUAUAACAAACAAAUCACCCAGCAAAAAAACAGACGAGGGAAGGUGCCUUUCCAUUUCAGGACGCGACAUCAAUCUAUACCCGACCGACAAGAGCUUCAUUCCUUUCAACCAAAUAAUGAGAAACGGAUGCAUGCCACCUUUCAGAAAUCCCCAUCCUUGUGAAAAAAGCAUAUGAGUUGCCCCCAUGUUCUUGUAAUUAAAAUCACUUUUACAAUCAGAUAUAUAUAUAUAUAUAUAUAAUGAGGACUAAUUUUCAGCAGUAUAUCAGCUGACAGCAGUGUUAUUGUUGUUUAUCUUUUUUGGCGGAGUUAAAACAUGGUAGCAGCCCUUUGGGGAUCAGAUACUCCCAUUGUAAGAGCAACAUACGUAUGACGUGAAAGCAAGGGGUACCAGACACAGCCCUCUACUUCUCAGAUCAUGCAUUGCCCGCUCUUCUUCAUCCUCGUCUUCUUUCAUGCUCAAAACCUCCUGCUGUUCUCAUCACCGGUAAACCAAGACAAAGUUAAUUACAAUCUCAAAUCUCGUUUUUAUGUUUCAUGAUUAUUCUGUUCUGAAGCUGCAAUAAAGAUGAUAAGCAGGAAAAGCAUUUUUCAAAGCAAGUUUUAACCACUUUUCUCUUAGGUCGAAUUACUGCGUAAAUGGAAGCUCAUUUUAUUUGUUUAUUUAUUUAUUUAUUUUUUUUAGGUGUAGACAAAAUUGCAACUCAAGUCAAAAUCUUGAUGAUAAUCGAUACUGGAAGCCGAAGACUUACUCCACGAGUUGCUCGACAGGACUUGCUGCUGCGAGAUGAUUUCAAAUACGCCAUACUCAAUGUCUGCAAAGAAUCAUCAUAUAAGUAUUUAGUGGAUGGACCAAUUUCACGAUCAUGCCAACCAAGAAUUUAUGUCUCCAUCAAGUCUGACAAAACAUUUCCAAAAGAAAGUAGUAAACUUUUUCUUUUCCUUCUUAGGAAAUCAAAUUUUGGGAUUUUUCUUUAAUUUUAUUUCCUGCGGAUUAUUAACAAUAAUAUGUAUUUCUCAGAAAACCAAAAUUAACAAACUUUUUAAGGGUUGGUGGGUUAAUUACCUGGAUUUGGUCUUGGAGGAACUGAAUGUACCCAAUGGCUUCCGUCAAAACUGAGGCUGUAUCCGUCUGCAUGUUCCCCAUUACCAGAAAGAAUUUCAUCAGGGCAUGGACAAAAAUUUAAAAUAAUACGCCAUUCUCUUCUCUCUCUCUCAGUCUUUUUGCACGAUAAUGGAUUCCGAUGAAUGAAUGACCAGACCACAUACUACCUUGCCGAAAGGCGAGACCAAUCUGUGAAGAGCUGCAAUUCUGUCUCCCAAUUUUUCCUUUCGGACCUAGGUAUAUACGUAAGUUGAACCACGAUUACUUAAUAAUAUUGAAUCCUCCCACCACCUACCACCCAAAAAAAAAAAAAAGAAAAAGAAAAACCUUGUUCUGUUAAAGAGUGAGUACGAGGAUAGUAACAUUUUUUGUUUGGCACCUUAAGGGUUGCACAUGAAGAUUGCGGUGCCAGUACUCGAGGUUUCUUGGCCAUUGCAAGGGAUGGCGUUGGUUUUUGGGUUUUCGGUCUUGAAACUUCUUUCCUGAAGGUUGAUGUCUUUGAAACCAAAGGGUAAUUAUUAAAGUUUAGCCUACUAUUGCCAAAAUUAAAUUGAUCAGGGAGCUGUGGAAAGUUAAUAAUAAGAAGCGUAAAUUAGUAACUGAGACUAAUAUUUCAAGUAUCAACUAGCUGCGCUUUGCACACAUGUACUUAUUAUACUUGAAUCAAAAUGACUAUGCACCGGAAAUUGAUAAUUACAAAAGUUGACAAGGCAUUUUCAUUAUUUUUCGUGAAUUCUAUGAUGAAUAUGAGUCAAUAUUCCAGGUGAAGAUAUCUAAGCACUAAAACUCUCGAGGAGCAUUUAACAUACACAUUCAACGUAAAGUGCAUUUCUCUAGAAAUCAAUCAAUCACUCACGUAAUCACGUAAAGAAAUGCGUAUAUACACUAAAACUCGACUAACCAAAAUACUCCAAUACAGAAAGUUGAUGAUGCAUUGCACUGGUACUGAAAAAAUUAAUUCGUCUAAAACAGUAAUUCGAUCUAACCAAUAAUAAUUAACACUAACGCAUUAACACAACCUAUUCUCAUUCCAGUUGCUUAAUUUUUAGUACUGAAUUGCUUCUUGCGAAUAUUGAAAAAUAUACUAAAUGGUCACCCACAGUAAAUGAUUGGUUUACUUCAUCAUCGAUUUAAAAAAAAAGAAAGAAGAAGAAUAGACAAGAAAAUCACUGGUGGAAGAAUAUUAAACCGAAACCAUAUGCAUUGAUCCAUGAUGAAGAUUGCACUAAUUAGAGACGUCCGUGUAUGGUGAAUGAACAGUUGUAGACUUAGGAGCAGAUGAAGAAGGAUCUAUUUGAAGACAAUAAACUUCCGGAAAGGCUGUAAAAUUGUAUGUUUCGACAGAAGAAAGAGGAAAAUACCCACUUUGUUGGAGCUGUUUGAUGGACUAUCACUUGAUUGUCGGAGGUGACAAUAAUCCGAAGACAUUCUUUCUUCGAAGGAUUCAUGAGUUCGAUGACCCUCAUCAAAGUUUCUGCAAUUCAGGAUCUCCGUGGCCAAAGGCAAGCUUUGUGAAGUGGGAAGUAAAGAAGUAGAGGCAUAAAGUUGAUGCUGAUCUGUGCUUUCUGAAGUACCGCUGGACAUAAAAUUUGGAGGAGAUGGUGGUAGACCUACAAAACUAGCAAAACCAUCCCCAUUUGAGUAGGAUUCAUUAGUUGAAAGCUUCUGGUUGAUGUGGCUGUGGGAGAAGGAACCAAUCCAAAGAUUCUCGUUUAGGUCUAUUGACACAUCUUGUUGCCCAUUUUUUAUGUAGCUGUUCUUUAAUAUGCUCCCAUUCAUGUCAUCCGAUUUGAGGAAAAGUCCUGGAUUAAUGCCACCCUUACUGGGCAAUGGAUGAUGCAGAUAGCUUCUAAAAUCACGACAAUUAGAAUCUUCAUGAUCAACUUCGAGUAGCGAUUUUUUGACAGAAGGGACUGAGUUGAUACUCCUUGGCCAAAAGUAGUCCCUCGAAUUUGGAAGGAUUUCAUUCAUGUAUCUGCUGAAGUCAUCUCCUUCCCUACAUCAUCAAAACCAAUAGUGGGUAAAUCUUCCCGAAUGAGUUUAAAAUGUUAAAAUUAAACUUCUUCUACGUAUCUUCCAUGCCCUUUCAUCUGUUUAACCAAAAUUUUAGCAUGAUGACCUAACUCGGAAGAUGAAUGUUUUUCUAGGUGAUAAGUCAAAUAAAGAAUUUUUCUCUUUUUUUUUUUUUAUUUUGACCCCUCUAAAAACUGCAAAAAUGAAAAAAGAAGUGAAUUAUUUAUCCGAAUCACAGUUGAAUCAUAAUCCUUCAGAAGUUUUCGCGAAAUCAACCGAGCUACUUGAGAAAGUUCGUUAUGUAGGACAAAUAUUCUUCUCCGCUGUAACAGUGAAGAUAAAACAAAAGCAAGAAUAUUGCCCCCAGAAAGAAAGAAAAAAAUAUAGCAAGAAUAAUAGAAGUAGGGAAAUCCUCUAAGCUUGUAUACUUACAAGACCAUGCUGGGGUUCCACUGACCAUUCACGGUUGAUACUAGUGUAGCUGAGGAAGAGGUCGACGAUGAAAAAGCAGGAUAGAUAAGCUGUUGCUGCUGCUGCUGCUGAUGCUCCUGUUGCUGUAACGGCUGAUCAUGAUGCUGAUUAAAAUUCGCUGAUUCCAUGAUGAUUUUGUUCAAGACUUGAGAAUCCCUAGAAGAAUGAUCUGGAUACAUAUUUAUGGUUCAAACGGCCCCCAAAAAAAAAAAAAAAAAUUCACCUGAAAAGUUCAAGUCACGAAUAUUGAUACAAAACCCUUUUACCCCUUAGCUUUAUACUCCACUUGAAACCGGCAUCAAGUAAUUAAUAAGAGCAGACAAUUUAUGAUUUUACUAGUAUAUAUACAAUUCAUUCAUCUUCUCUAAUUGAACUUAGCUUGACCUAGAAAGUGCAUUUGUAGCCAUGUCGUUUCCCUACUGCCCAUUGUCACAUAAUUGAUGAAUUACCCACGAGGUGAAAAUCAUUACCAAAAAGCGGCAAUUUUUCUGGCCACAUGUCUAUACUUUUCUAUCAUUGAGCAUAUUAUAAUAGGUUUCAGGUUUAAGAUUGAGGAAAAUGAGAUAAACAAGAAAAAAAAAAAGUUAGCUUAUUAGUUAGUAUUUCCAUGGACUGCAUCGAUCAUGUUAAGUGCUAUUGCAUGUGCUCUGUGUUUGUGUGCCACCCCAUGUCUCUAAUCCCUAUCUUGUAAUCAGGCCCAUGUACGCUGUACUUCUAAGCAGGAAUCAUUGAUGAACAGAGAAAAUUGGGAUUUACUGGACUUUGUAUGGCUGAGAUGGCAACCACCCACUCGUAUCUCUUAUGUUAUGGUUGGUUGAUGCAAAUAUGAUGUCAUCCUGCAAAUGCAACAUAUAAUUAAUUAAGGCAAAUUUGAGAAAAUUAGAAUACCAGUUGAUGCAAAUAUAUAUCAUCAUUACCGAAAAGUAGGGAUUUCUCUGGUUGAUGCACACCAAUGUUCAUUUUAACUACUACGAUAAAAUCGAAUUACGCUUUGAGGAUUGCACUAUUUUGUGCAAGUUUGGAUGCGAAUUACGCUUACAAUGUUUUUCUAAAAUGUAACAUUGUUUUCUAGAACAUGAUUACUGAUUGAUUUUUUUUGGUUUGGGGGGGGGGGGGGGGGGAGAAGGUAGGUAAUUCAUAUUACAGUUUCUCUACUCGAGCAAUAACAAUUUAAAAAAAAUAACAGUGACUAUCGAGCUAAUCUAUCAACUUAUCACAUAAUUAAGUCCAAGCACAUACAAGUGAUGAAAGAAGCACUAUAUAUUCUUAUACUAUAUAAGAUUCAGUUUUGGUCAAAAAAGGGAGUUAAAUUUCAACCGCAUGGGCGAGGGCAUUUUGAAAAUUUGGAAAAUGUGUUGCUUUUUUCAAUCUUUUGGUACAACUGAUUGCAGCAUGUGUUUGGGUGUUUUUAUAUUAAAACCCCCAUAUUUGUGCAUUUAAAAUUUACAUUUAUAGACACAUCUAAGUAUUUGUGAAAUGUGGGUUUAUUUGACGAUUAUUUGUGCAUUUGAUCCAAUUCAUAUAAGCGUAUAUUUUUUUGCAAUUACUGAAAUGGGAUUAUUAUGUAAUUAAAAUAGAGCCACGUUGCUGCUAACCUCAGUAAUUGCAAUAUAACUCCAUUUUAAUUGUCUGAAACACUCAUAAUUAUAUUAACACUUGCUUUCCUAUGUCUGAAGUUCAGCUGUUUGAAACAGCUUCUCUACCAGUAAUAAAAUACUAUUUACAUCCCAAUUAAACAUCCAAUAAAUGUGGGUGUGCUGCUAAGUUAUUAUAUGAGUAUCAGUUAUAACUCUUUCAAUUCUUCCUCCUUCACAUUCUUCGAUUUUUCCCCUUUCGACUUUCAGAAUUGCGUUAUUUUUUUAACCUUUUCGCUGAGCAUUUCAUAAUGGUUUUCAACAGAAGUUAUAUUUCCUUAGUAUUACUUAAUAUGUACUGUUAUUUUAUAUUUAUCUUCAUUUACUUGCUCAUCACAGACACCUAAAAAAUUCUCUUUAAUAACACGCGCCAAACACCCGCACGAUGCACAGGCAUUCCCCUCUAGUUUUGACAUAAGUUUAACGACCCUCACCUACUCAUGUUAGAUAAUUAAAUAUUCGAUACUCUUUAUCUGUUUUCCCCUAGCCGACUAAAGUCAUUAUUACCAUCUUCUCUUUGACUCUUGGUUGAUUGGGGACCAGAAUGCAGGAAUAAUCAACUUCAAACAAAUUUUAUUUUAGUACGCACAAGGGUCGCAAGGAAAACCACAAUACUAUCUUAUGCAUUCCCUUUUGUCAGACAAGAGUCCAUAGAAAUAUCAAAUCUGAGAACUUGAACUGGGAAAUCAUAAGCAAUGCCAUCUACUACAAUUCAUUUGUUUUCUUGAAAUCACGUUGACAAAUGAAUUGCACUGCAGCGUUACUUCUUCCAUCCCACUAGUUCAUUCCUUCUUCCUCCCCUUCCCGUUCUACUGGAGCUUAGUUCAUUAUUUGCAAUUAAUGGGUAAGGGUGGCUUAUGUGCCUGGUAUUUUGUCAAACUGUCAUGCAUGCAGAUUUCAGAUUAUGUGCUAACUUCUUAGUAAUGUGUUCCUUGUCCAACUCUAAUCGCCAGCAAGAGAUUCUUUUCCUUUCUCUCUCUUUUUUUUUUUUUUUGGGGCAUCACCAUUUCCCAGCUGAGAUCUUCCAGUGAUAUCCUAAACUUGAUUAUUUUAUGCUGAGGAGAGAGGAAUGUGUUCUCACCAUCCCUCAUUCUCUCUCCAUUCCAGCUUCUUCUUUCCCACUUCUCCCAUGCUAAAGUAAAAAGGUACAUGUUGAAGUACUAUUUCACUAUUUUUUAGAGAAAAGUAAGAUCGGGGGAGGUAACUGAUAAUAGCAACCCAACAAGAAGGCAAAAUGAUAUAUCAGGCGAAAAAGUGAUCAUGGAUUAAUGGAUUUCCAGGUUAUGGACAGGUUUGUCUUGAUCUCUUACUUUUUCAGCCGUACUCAAAAUUCAACUAGCCUUGCCAAUGCCAUCCACGGCCUCCUGCAACAAGCUCUCAAUCUCAUUUUCUAAAUUUUUUUCACUCUCAUUAUAUCUUAGCUUUUGCAUAGUCAAUUUUAGCAAAUUUUACCUGAACUAUUGGACACGAUUGCAACGAGUUCAUUUUCUUACGUGAUAGGGUCGUUAAUUCAAUAUCUUGUACAUGCAACACUACAUUUGUUUUUUUUUUUUUCCAUUUUAAUUGACUAUACGAGUAAUCACUCUAGAAUCUAUAUGCAUAAUGUCUUUAUGAUUUAUUUUUUAUACACAAAUAAUAUAUACACGAUCACCAUUGAAUGCAUGAUAACUGAUUUGAAUGUUAACUUGAAAUCCAAAUUUUACAUAUAUAUAAUACAUCCAAUCGUGAUAAUAUAUACACCACCAAUAUGGAUAAAAUUAAUUCAUAUUUUUAACAUCCAUGUUUUAUAUGUUUCAAAAAGAAAUUAACACCUUAUUUCAUUUAUUUGAUUGAAUAUUAGAAACCUCCCUGCUGAAAGUAAAUUGUAAGAGUGUCAAAUUUGAUGUUUGCCGUUUUUUUAAAGAUAUGAACAUUAAUAAAGAUACAUCAAUCAAAGCUACCCCCAAAAAAAAAAGCAUAUAAAGGACAAAGGGUUUUAUGGCACAGACUUGCUAAUACAUAAAUUCCUUGAUUGAGUUCAAAACUUAAUGCACUUUCACCGACAAUAUGCCAAAAAUACCCUUACUCGAAGACUUUGGAAGUUCCAAGUGUUUGAGACUAAUGGGAUGCAUAAACUAUUAUGAAUUAAUCUUUUCUACACAACACAACAGUGUAUCCAUUGUCUGCUAGUUUUUGAUGAAUGACAGUAAUUCAAUUUCAAAUUUGAAUUUGAAUUGUCUGUAAAAUUUGAACUUGAAAUUCAAUUUUUUUGCACGUAUCAUUAAUCCAAUGGUGAUAGUGUACAUAUUAUCAGUGUAUAUAAGGUUUACUCAAAUAUUUAACAUUAAUUUUUGAAUUUGACCUAAAAGAUCUGUGUCACUAAUAGCAUGAAGAUGGAACUUAAACCUAAGAACAUGAUUAAAUAACCGUUCCAAAUUUUCAUGGAUUUAAAGGACGACUUGAUUUCUCCUUCUAACUAAUUAAGUUGGUCAUGCAUGCUACGAGGGUGGCGUGAUUUUGAGGGCCGACAUAUAGAAUAACAAUGCAAUUAUUGGUACUUUGGGAUUAAUCCCAGAUGCCUUUUUCUGAAUUAGUCUUUUUAUUAUUGUAAUUACUUGGAGUUAUGUUAAAAUUCCCUAUAGCACUUUAUAGUCCACUUGCUGCUAUGGGUACCAAAUGGAAUCCUAGUUGGAUUCAUUAUGUUCCUUCGACCGUCUUCCCAUUUGAAUAUGUUUUGCGUGCACGAAACACGUCCUUGCCAAAAUGCAAUUGGCGUUGCAAUCAUUUGUCUAUUGGUGACAUUUAUCUUGAGACCAUCAACCAUUGUAUGUAUCAAUUAUCAUGUCUAGACCUGAGAUUUGUGUCCAUAAGGUAGACUUAUCAGAAUGAGUCCAAGCGAAAGUGGUGCUAAUCUAAAUUAAUACUAUGCUCUUUUCGUGUUUUGUAUUUCAUGGUAGCUUAAAUAUUUUGUUCUGCUCUAUAUGGGUAAUCUUGAGAGUAAAUUAAAACUCUGAAUAUUCUCUACAUAGUUGACCCGUAAUUUCAUGCACAAAGCUAGCUCCAAGGCCUUAUUUUUGGCCUCUAACGUCAUAUGGUUUUUCUAGCAUACGGUAGCACUACGACCUUAUGCUGUGUACUAUUUUACUUUGUAACAAAUGAUGAUAGUUCCUUCACUAAAAAUGUAAGUGGCUGUAGUUUAGUGGUAAGAAUUCCACGUUGUGGCCGUGGAGACCUGGGCUCGAAUCCCAGCAGCCACAUUUUCUGUUUUAUAUGAUUGCACUUAAAAUGCAAUAAUUGUUUUUGAAACCUUUCUCCUUUUUUUUUCUCCUGAAUUUAGCUUGUUGCCAUAUAAUGGAUUAGAAAUUUACUUAAGAUAGAAUGGCGUCUCUAACACGGCCAUUGGCCAACCUAUUACAAACUUUAAUACUUGCACAUGUUUAGGUAAGAAUGGGUAGCAAUAAAGCCUUUAGGGGAUUGCCUUUAAAAAAAAAAAAACUUUAAUACAAACUUUAAUACUUGCACAUGCUUAGGUAAAUGGGUAGCAUUGAAGCCUUUAGGGGAUUGCCUUUAUUAAAAAAAAAAAAAAAAGCCUUAAGGGGAUUAAAUGUUUUUAACUGUGUUAUUCAAAAAUCACACUGUAAAAAAUUUGUUAGGUGCACAGUGCACCUACCAUAACCACCAACCACCUCGAUCACCACUAUUCAUCUCCACUACUACUAUUGCCCUUCCUCCCUCUUUCUCUCUCCUCUUCAUCCUCCCUUCUCUUUGGUCUUGGGAAGAGGUAUCGAUAGAGGAGGGGAGGAAAGAAAGAGAGAGGGGGGAAGAGUGAGGGAGAGAAAGGAGAAAGGAAAGAAAGAGCUAAACCCAACUUCAAAAACACUUUUAUCCUAAUAUAUUAAAUAAGAACAAAGUGUCUAUUUAAUAAGUUUAGACCUUCUAAAGGAUAAAAAAUAGGUAAAGUUUAGGAAAAUUUAACGUUUUUUGUGAACACAUUUUUCAGUUUUUUUUUUUAAUUAUAAACAUCAAAUUAUUAUGGUACAUUUUUCUAUAAAAAUUAAAAAAAAAUUCAAACAACACCUUACGAGUCAAUCAUAUUUGACCUGUAACAUUUAACCAUGUCUUGUGUAUACUUGUAUUAUGUAGAUAGUUAGUAAGGUUGGGCUGUAUUGGGUACUCAUCCUGUGCAUUAUUUUGUUGAAUCAACCAACACCUUAUGGGUCAGUCAUUUUCUGACUUUUACUAAGCCCAUAUAUUAGCAAGUACUUGGUUAACGAGUACCCAUUGAGGUACGAUCGAAUCAAUAGGUACCUGUUCUACCUCGUUUAUCAUUUAUUUUUUUUAAAAAAUAAUUUAUACUAAAAUAAUUUUAUAUUUUACAUAUUCAUAUAAGAUUUAAUAAAUGUUUUCUCAAAAAAGUUUCCUACCAUGAUUAUUAGUUUCAUCGUUUAUCAUUAUUUUACUUAUUUAGCUUUAAAAAUAUUACUUUGUAGUAUGUGUAUACAAAUAAAAAUAAAAAAUAUAUAUACCAAACGGAUUGGAUAUCUAUGGGUUCUUAAUCACGUAGCACUAACCCGACCCUGUAUAUAAGCGCGGAUUUUUUUAUUUAUUUUGGCCCAACCCUAGUAUUUUUUCUUUUUUUUUUUUGUCGAUACGAUAGAUUUCUACACUAAGGAGAGGAGGAGGACUUGAAAAGGUCUAAAAGUAACCCGAAAGGGAUUGAACCACUGGACUAGAUGAAUGCACUGUACACCCGUUUGAAGUUUUUAAACAAAGCCAAUUUUUAAUAUGGCGAAUUGAUGGGAGGCAACGUUUAAUGAACCCUUGUCUCCCACCCUACAAAGAUUUAAUGCAAUGAUGGUGGCUACCGGUCCAAAGGCAGUGGUUUUGGCCCAACCCUAGUCGUAACGCUGGAGCCAUGGUUGAUUUUAAUCUAGAAUUCUACUGGCAUCCGCGACGCUGGCUGCACUUUUCACUAGCCAGCCAAUUCCCCGAUACUUUCCACGUGGACAGCCGGUCGCCGCUUGCUUAAGGAGCCGUCAACUGAAAAUGUCUCAUCCAGACGAUGAGAAGACCAAAGACUUCUAAGUUUCAAACAUGCACGUUGUCGAGUAUUAUGGUGUAGUAUGGUAUAAUUCUACUCAAAAGUUAGUUAAACAAACAAAAGGAAACCCACCAGGCCACCACCAAUCCCCCACUCUAUCCGUCUAUCAUCAUCGAAUCUCAUCAAAGACAUAUCCCUUAAGAAACCAAACUCUUUAUUGAACAUCCAACUUCCAACUUAGCCGCACGGCUCGGCUCCUCGCUCUUAUAAUACCUAAGCACUAUAAGCAAUAUAGAAAUUGAACCCUAACUACUUUGACCAAAAAAGAAAAUAAGUAAUCAUAUUCCUACCUUUUUUCUAGACACGAUUUGGUAAUUUCAAGUUCCAUGACGGAGUUGGAAAUAUUUUCUGAGCGAAGGCACAAAUUAGCAAUAAAAGUUUGUGUAAUACUUCAAAGAAAUAAAUCUUAAUAAGAGUACUCGAUAGAAAUGUGGUGGACCAAUUUGUAACUUAAAGUUUAUUUGGAAUUGCAGCGACUUAUAAAAAAAAUACUUAAUUAGUAGAGGUCUCAUCAAAGUAUUUAUUAAGUGUUUAAUCAUAUUAUUUGGAUACAUAUUUGUAUAAGUAUUUUCUCUAUUUGAUAAUAUGCAAUUUUAAUCUCUAUUCCUAAAUUAAAAGAAUGAUGCUCGCUAAAUGCGUUAAAAAUUGCUCUUGUUAGCAAAAAAACCACAACUCCAAACGAGCCCUUAAAACUUUAAGUUUAAGUAGUUCUAUUUAUUUGUUUAUUUAUUAUUCAUCAAAUUAUUAUAACAACCAUGAUCUUAAUUAUUUUCACAAUUCAGUGGGGACACAAAUUUCUUAAGAAAUUCUAAACCUAUUAUAAGCCUUUUUUUUUUAGACCUUGCCAACACGUAAUGAAGGCAAAUAUAUAUAGUAAACAAAGUACAUAAUAAAAUCAUGCAAAAAGAUAAACAGGGCUUGAUUAUUUUAAUUUUAAAAAUACAAUCUUGAUAUUUUGACACUAAAUUAUAAGGCGGAGCAACAAAAAUUUUUAGUGAGGAAAUUAAAUGUGAUUUUCACAAGCUUUUGACAUGCAUCAAUGUCUUGAAAACAAUAAUCUCAACUGAUUCCAGCUGACAUAACUGGACAUCGUGAGGUGCUCAAUUAAAUUAGGCCUUCUACUUCUACUGCCGGCAUUCCCCUCGUGGAGGCCAAAAAAAAAAAAAAAAAAAACUACGAAGCUCCGAGUCAUAUUUUAUACUUCAAGCUUGGCUUAACUGGCUUUUGAAGCCGAGAAUAAACCAUAAUUGAGCGGUAACAACAACUAAAGGGCUGUCCCCAUUUAUUUAUCAACUAAAUUGAUUUUGCCUGAUUCAGUAAUAUGGUUGAAAAAUUCAUGCAUCCGAACAAAAUUACUCGUUCAAUUUGGGAUAAGAUUUCACAUCUUUGUGGGUAUAAUCCUAAUCAUUUUUACUUUUCCAAUCUACUCUCCUCAUCUUAGAAAUGCCCAUUUUUGUCCAUUCCUCUUUGUAUAUAUCUGUCUCUGACUCUGUAUCCUUCUCAUCAAUUUCAAGCUGGUAAGGCACCGGAUAUUUUUACGAGCUGGAAUUUACUGGUUUUGAAUGUAUAUUUUUCACUUUGAGUUCUGCAGGAAUUUGUAUAUAGAUCAAAACUUUAUCUAACUUCGGCUUUACUUCUUCUCAUAAACAGGUUUUUGAUGGCCAAAGUUGAAAAAGUUGCAGUGAAUUUGUCGAAGAUUGAAGGGAAAGAAAAGGGGAAAUUCUCAAAUUAAAUUAUUCAUUUCUUGAAGAUUAAUAGAGGGCCCAAGAAGAUUGAACCGCCGAAAUGUAAGUAUCAAUCUUUUCAUACUUCCAUUUUUUAAGUUCCACUUCACGUUUGAGAAUAGUAAUUUGGCUGUUCAAUUCCUGUUACGCAUUGCUUCAACAGUGGGUUUUAGCUUUUUGGUAAUCAGUAGCUUUCUACUCUGCAAACGGAAUAAAUUUUUCUUCGAUCAAUUGGUGAAUUGUGAGUGAUGAUUUUUUUUUUCUAAAAUUGUGGGAUGAAAAAUAACAGUGAAAUGGGAACUGUAAUGGAGCCAGCCAAUGAGAUUAGACAAAGAGGAAAGCAUUACUACACAAUGGGGCAAACUUUGUUUGAGAUCGAUACAAAAUAUGUUCCAAUCAAACCCAUAGGAAGAGGGGCAUAUGGGGUUGUUUGUUCUUCAAUUGAUAUGGAGACUCAUGAGAAAGUGGCAAUCAAAAAGAUACAAAAUGUGUUUGGGAAUAGGAUUGACGCAUUGAGGACUCUCAGGGAGUUGAAGCUUCUGCGGCAUCUUAAGCAUGAGAAUGUGAUUGCCUUGAAGGAUGUCAUGAUGCCUAUGCACAGGAGUAGCUUCAAGGAUGUGUAUUUGGUGUACGAAUUGAUGGAUACUGAUCUUCAUCAUAUUAUAAAGUCAUCUCAGCCGUUAUCAAAUGAUCAUUGCAAGUUUUUUAUUUUCCAGGUGCUGAUUCAUUUUGAGCUUUAAGUACACUAGAUUAAGUUUAUCCUUUUUAGUUCCAUGAGUUUUGUUAUUUGAGAAAGUUAUGGAUUACAAUUUGCUUGUAUGAGUACUAACUGCUGUUCUCAUCCUAAUGGAAGAGGUCUUAGUCACAAUUUUCUCUCUGUUUUUUUUUUUCUUAGUCACAAUUUUCUCUCUGUUAAAAGAAGGAUAGAACCACAUUAGCUACUAUAGAUGCGGUGAUCAACAGCCUUUUUGUGUCUUAAUUUUGAUAUGAACUUCUAUUUGAAACUUUUCUGCUUUUUUUCUUGUUUAUCUCUCCUACACUUACUUUCAUUUCUGAAAUUUGGGGGUCUCUCAUUUCAAGUUCUGAAUAAACUGAAUGAAUUCCAUAUCUAGCAUAACAUAUUUUGAUAGCUUUCCUGAUGAUUAACCUUAGAGUACUCGUAUAGCUUGAAAGCUUUUGGGAAAGACCUAUGUGUUAAAAUUGGUAUUUGACUUAGAAAAUGUAAUUAGUACAUUAGAGCUAGUUCGUAGUUUUAAGGUUUCCCCUGAUGGUGAACUUUGCUACUAUGCCUGGUGUGCCAGUUGUGAUAUACAAAACUUCAUUGUGUCUGAGGACAUUGGAACUAAUUUCAAGGCUUAUGAGUUCACUGUAUCCAGAGGACCAUGUAUUCGGGACUUUAUGCUCAUAAUCAUCUUCUCUUUUUCUAAAGCAUCAAAGAGAUAAGUAGAUAAGUAUAAAUACAAGUAGCAUACGUAGCAGUUAUUUUGUAAAUCCAGCAGAAAAGGUUGUAGAGGCAUUGAUCCUCUUCUGAGUGAAGAACUAUGGUUUCAAUUACACUUGAGAAAAGCUUCAAUUUUAUAUCUUGUGCCUGCAUUUCCUGUCAAGUUGCAUGCUUUGUCUUUUCAAAAUGUUUUCCCGUGGACUAUAUCUCAAAUUUAGAUUGGGUGAAUGGUGCAAAGAAAAGGUUUAUUUGUUGCUUUCUUACAUCAUGCUUAUCAUGAUGGAAUUCAAGACAAGGCAUGAGCCUUUCUUUAGUUGGACUUUCAGGGUUUAUGUUUUAUUUUCAAUCUAAUUUUAAUAACCUUUCUGAGCUUUCACGACAUAUGCAAACAGAAAAUCUUUUCCUGUUGAAGAUUAUUAUCAAUUGUUUCAUUUAACCUUCUUUUCUUUAAAUGCUGAUACGUUGCAAGAUUACUGUUCUUGUGAUUCUUGAACGGUCGCAUUCAUGGCUGUAGCCACGCUCUCACGUGAUCUUCAAUUCAAAAUGUUAGGUAUUAGAAAAUAUGAUGCAUCAAAAGCUCUUGAGUUAUUCUCCUUAAUUUUUUUGCUGGUCUGAUUCUCUGCUCCUGUUUUUCCCUCAUCACUGAAUUGCAAUGUGCAGCUUCUUUGUGGUUUACAAUAUCUUCACUCGGCAAAUGUCCUUCAUCGGGACUUGAAACCAGGAAAUCUCCUCGUUAAUGCUAAUUGUGCACUCAAGAUAUGUGACUUUGGAUUAGCAAGAACUGGCAAUGACAGUGGACAAUUCAUGACUGAAUAUGUAGUCACAAGGUGGUAUCGUGCGCCAGAGUUGCUUCUUUGCUGUGACAAUUACGGGACCUCUAUUGACGUCUGGUCUGUAGGGUGCAUCUUUGCUGAAAUCCUUGGCAGGAAACCAAUAUUCCCAGGAACAGAGUGCCUCAAUCAGCUUAAACUUAUCAUUGAUGUCCUUGGCAGCCAAACUGAAGCCAAUCUUGCAUUCAUUGAUAAUCUGAGGGCUAAAAAAUUCAUAAUGUCACUUCCUUGUUCAAGAGGGGUUAACUUUGCUUCUCUCUACCCCCAUGCUGAUCCUUUGGCCAUAGAUUUGUUACAGCGGAUGCUAGUUUUUGAUCCAUCGAGGAGAAUCACAGUGACAGAAGCUCUUUAUCAUCCAUAUUUGUCAGGUCUCUAUGAUCCAAGUCGCAACCCUCCUGCUCAGUUUCCUCUCAGUCUUGAUGUUGAUGAGAACAUGAGCGAAACAAUGAUCCGCGAGACGAUGUUGAGAGAGAUCCUUCUUUACCAUCCGCCACAAGUUACUUACACGAACACGAACACGGUGAUAAAUUUUUAAUUUGAGAAGCAUUUCUUUGGCACUAGACCUUUGGAAAAAGCAUAAAAGUUGUGGGGAAGGAAAGAAAGAACAAAAAGUACCAAUACAUUAUUAGUACACAAGUAUUGUUUUAGAAUCAUACUUGUUCUGUACCAAGCCUUGGAUACUUCUUUUUGAUUGCAUCAAUUUAUUAUUUAAGCCCGAAGGGGAAAAGGGACAGUGCAGUGGCAGUGAUAUAGCAGUUGAAUCCGAGCAAUUUGCCUGGAGAGUGGUGACUUCAAUCGCUCGACUCUUGGGCCAACCCUUGCUCCUCUAAGCUCUGAAUAUUUUGAUUAGUCCAGAAAUUUUUGAUCUAUGCGUUCUUUUAGUUUGAGAUCACUGCAGAAGUAGCAGCAUAUCAGAACCUAUAAGAGCAGUAGCUUCACACAUCAUUCCUUGAUGGAGAAACGGUCUUAUCUCAAAAUUAGUCCAUUAAUAAUCUUAAGAGUCGGCUUUUUUCCCCCUCCCUCCCCAUUAAUAAUCACAAGUGGUGGGCAUCUUUGAGGGAAUAUUAUGAUCAUCGAAGCAUAAAGCAGCAGCAGCAGCUAUAAAAGGCGACAGAAUACGUCAGUAUUAACUCAAACUAGUGGAUCUCCACUACAGUCUGACACAACGAAAGAGAUGCAUCAAUCGAGUCUGACAGGGAAAUCACAAAUUUUAAAAAGAUACAACAAUUUGCAGGGAAGUAUCUUAUCAUUAUGCAAAGCUAUAAAUUGAUCAAGCUCUUCUCUUAUUUGCUCGGUGUGGAAUAGUCAAUGAACACAAGCUUGUAUCUUUCUCCAAAAGCCCAAUCAAGAAAAUAUACAACACACACACACACACACACAUAUAUUACAUAUAGCUAAACUAAAAGCUGGCAAGCCAUCCAUCCAUGAAGGUGAAUGAAGUUUCUAUCUUCUUUCCUCUAACGUACAUCAGGGGCCCUUCGCCCAUAAUGUACGGUUGUCCGGCACGCACGAGAAGAAAUUAGAGAGUCUAGAAACACGUUUUGCCGGAAGCCUCCGCUAAUUGUUUCCACGUUGUCAUUUGGGACUCAUAAUGGGUCUGUUUAGAUAAACUAGAUUUUUUUCUUCCAAAUAUUAUUCAACUUGUGUCGUAUUUUUUUAAAGGCACACGUUAAAAUAUAUUUCAGAUAAAUUAUUUUUUUAUUUUAUAUAUAUAUAUAUUAUAUCAUAAAAAAUACUACGUUGUCAAUCUAAAUAAUUUUUUUUUUCAAAUUAUCUUUUAUCUAAACAUACCCGUUGCUUUUGCCCCGCUCCUAGUGUUCCGCUCCUAGUGUUCAAGUGUCGCAGGAUUGAAUAAAGAUGUUUUACCUAAAACCAUGGAUGCAUGAUACAGCCACUUCAACUUUGCCCAUGUCAGCUCAAUUUUCCACUAGUUGCUUUUUUUUUUUAAACAACUUUUUUUGUUUUUCUUUUUCUUUAAUCAAGAAGUGAAGAUUGGUUUUCUUACUCUGUUGUCUCCUAUGCGUAAUACGUGUUAGGAGAAAGCAAGAGAAAAAGUAAAUUUAAAAAACGUUAAACAAUAAUAAUAAUAUUGCUUAGCUUCUUAAACAUGACUUUGAUGAAUAAUAUAUAUUUUAUUUAUCAGACGUAAAACAUUUACGUACUACAACAUUCUUAAAUGCGGUCAAAAGUAAUUAAACCUCGUGCAUGGAUAAUGUAUAUCGCGUUCCACGGGAUGGAGAAUCCCUUUAGGCUUUAACCCCUGGAAGUUAAGUCAAAAGUCAAAAAAGAUGAACGAGGAAAAAUGGCCGAGCCAGCUUUGAAGUUGAUUGACAGUUGCUAAUAGAGGCCAAGUCAGAGUGAAGGUUCCCAUUUUCUGCGAUUUCCCUGUUCAAGCUGCACGGGAUAGGCUCCAGCGCCGCCGCCCCUUAUCCAAAUAUCCACCCAUUUGAUACAAUUGAAGCUUUAGCCACCAAACAACGUGCGGAAAAAAAAAAUAGCAAAUUUUUCCUUCCAAACGGAUCAGUCUACCUAUCAUGUGUCAACUAUUCUCUCACUAUUUCAACUGCUAAAAACCAAACAAAAGUUUCUUGAUACAUUUUCUAUUGGCACCAUCCCAAAAAAAGAAAAAAUUUUUUUUUUUGUUUUUUUCUGUAUUGUGGAAUUUAGAUACUACUCCACGAUAAAAGUAUAUUUGAAGAGAGGGAAGACUAGUAAGUGAUUGACAAUUCUAAUUAAGUCGGUAUGAGUAGCGCAAUUUGCUUUUGUCUUCACUUUUUCAGGUAAAAAGUAGUGAUUGAUGGCUGAUUUCUCUAAUUCAGAAGUAAUAGUACUAAAUUGGUAGUUUAAAUCAUAGUGAGGAUGGCCAGCUGGCCUCUGAGCCGUCACUUUAUGCUUCUCAAUGGGCCUAAAAAUGUGUAUAAAUUCCACAGCCAAAUUCUCCUUCCUUCCUCCCUCCCUCCACCUCCCUUCCUUCCUCAUUUCUUUUUGCAUUUAGCUUUGUGAGGUUCGGCCUCUGCCUCUCCCUAAUUUUCUGUUCCUCCAGGUUCUGAAACUCCCAGCUUCCACAAAGCCCGAAUAUUUCUUUUUCCCCUUGAUCCUCUACCCGAACAUUCAUGCGGCAACAGGCGUUUAUUCUCUAACCUUUGACAUUCAUGUCUCCUGUACUCAGCGAAGUCCUCCUCUCCGGUUUCACAAUCAGCUCCACCCUCCGCCGUACCCACUUGAUGCAAUCUUUCUCUGUUGUAUUCCUCUACUGGUUCUAUGUUUUCUCAUGAACUCAUAAAACCAUCAUAUUUACAUUAUUUUCAUUGACCAAAAGACUUCUUUGUCGUAAGUUCAUUAUCCAUAUAAUACUCCUACCCUUUAUUAUUUGCUUAUCUAAAAGACUGCAGAGUAGUAUUUUGCAAGAGAUUUUGUACUUUUUGGCAUAUAUUUUGCGCCAUGUCUUGUACCAGCGGAAAUUCAUCAGGGCCAAGCCAGAUUCAGAAUUCGGGGUCCGAUGAAGAUCCCCAACAAAUUAUGGACCUAAGAAAACGCAAAAGAAUGAUAUCCAACCGGGAAUCUGCUAGGCGAUCAAGGAUGAAGAAACAGAAGCACUUGGAUGAUAUGAUGGCCCAGGUGAAUCAAGUGAAGAACGAGAAUAAUCAAAUUCUCACCAAUAUCAACCUUACAAAUCAGCUUUAUCUGAACAUUGAAUCUGAAAAUUCUGUCCUAAGAGCUCAGCUGGCUGAACUCAGCCACAGGCUACAGUCCCUCAAUGAUAUCAUUAACUGCUUGAAUGCUACAACGAAUUCACCAGUUCUUGAAACACAGGACUCUGCUUUUGAUUAUCAGAUGAUGAGUGCUUUUGAUCAUGAUUUCUUCAACCCCUGGAAUUUACUCAGUGUAAAUCAGCCCAUCAUGGCUUCUCCAGAUGUUCUCAUGUACUGAUUCCUUCGGAGAAGUGAUCCAUUGCUUCGGUGUUUGGCUUGCUGAUGAUCGGGGUUGUAGACUUCUGGGUGCUUAGUGAAAUUGAACUAGAAUGUUGUCCUUGGUUUGUAAUUGAAACGAUUAUGUAUAUUAUGGUUGAUGUACUGCCAUUGCGAAUGCAAGUAAUUUUCUAAAUAUUAGAACAAAAUUCAAAGUCCAUUAUUGAGUGGAUUAGUUCAUUACCUAAUUACGUUGUUUUCGGUGUACAUCUUCAAGAAUGAUGCAAGGUUCGCACUCAUAAUAUAAUUUGUACUCCCAUCUUUUAAUCCUUUCAUAUAUGGUUCACAGAAAUUGUUCACUGAGUGCGAUGUGGAGAAUUUACAAUUAGUACUUUAGCAGCAAAAAAAAGGGUAUAUAUAUUGGAAGCUAAAAUAAAAGGAGUAUAUGUCAAAGGCGAUUUGUGUUGCUGAGGACGCCAAUGAGAAAAUUUUAAUUAUUUGAUGAUGACAUAUGUUUUAUCUACACAUUCAACUACCACUUUAGGUAAGGAUUAAGAUUAGUGGACAAACUGAUGUACCAAUAAACUACUGGCAGAAUUAGUGGGCGGACCAACAUAUAUUUCCAUUCAUGAACUAUACAUAUAUGGGCUGUUUGGCCGGGGCAGAAAAGAUUUGUUUAAAAAAAAUACUACCUCAAAUGAUGACAUCAUCUUGUAUUGUUUGGUAAUCACAAACCGACAGAUGCAUUUGACCUAACAAGUAGAAUUAUUAGUAUUAUACAAUUGUUGAAAGGAAGACAUCUUAAUCGCAUUAUGCGUGGAAAGUUAAUACAAGACUCGCAUAAUGCUCUGCCUCUAAUUGUUAAUAUUUUAGUUAAGCCAUGACCUCAAGGCUAAGGACAAAAUCUAUGAGUUUUCGUUAAUGUUUUGAAAAAUAACUAAAAUAUAAAAAGAGGUUAACAAAUCAAUAAUGUCAUCUCUUCUACACGAAAGAGAUGAAUACAAACCGCCUCGGUCGGAUGCUUAUUCAUUCUUUAAUCCGUUCUCCGUUCCACAGGACUCAAAUCAAUCUAAGAUUCCUUGAGAAAAUUAUUGAGCGCCCCCCCCCCCCCCCAACACACAACACAAACAGAACUUAAAAAGAAAUCGAUCAGAAGUUUCUUGAUUAAAGAACUUAAAGAGUAGAAUUAUUAGUAGUGAAAGAGAAGAAACACGUUGAGGUCGCAAUCCGACGUCUCUGUUAUUCUUAUCAGUUCCAUGUUGUUUUCACCUGUCUUUGAAAGAACAAAUAAAUGAACUGCAAGGCGCACCGAAUCAGCAAAAUCACUUUCUAGCCCAGAUUAAAGAAACCCCCAUUAGACUCUCAGACUCACUGUUGCAUGCAUGCCAGAUCGAGCAUAUCCACCUAUUGAAUUGAACCCUUUUAAGAGUUGUUCUGAUGUCACAAUUUUAUGUAGAAAGUAGGAUUCCACUCUUCAAGAUUCAAUGAAAAUCUCAAUUUCACAAUAGACGGACGAGAUUCAUAAAUUUUCAAGUCUUAAAAGGUUGAACAGAGAUGCUUCUGGUGCUUGUCUACUAACUAAAGAAUGCUAGAUCAACUCUACAGAACAAAAUGCAGUUACACGCUAUCUGUUCUGCACAGACAUUUGAUCUCUAUGUGAUUCAUAUUAAACCAGUCGAAUCCUUUUCUCUGGCUAUUGAAUAAAAUGAUGAUAUACGUACAAAAUUACUGGCAUUGAUUUUGCCAGCUGUUGGGCUUCAUCAGUUGAGUUAAUCUGGUAUCGACUUGACCAAACUUUGCCAGCAGUAUGAGCAGCUCAGCAUCAGGACCUUCUUGAUUUGUUUUCUAUUGAUUAGUGCAUCAGCACUAGGACCAGGGGGAAAAAGUAUGUUGGAGAGAUGCACGGAAAGAAAAAAUUAUUUGCAUGUUGUUUUACUUUGGCAUAGCCGUACGUGGUUUAAUUUUGCAGCCUGUUUUUUUUUUUUUUUUUAAAAAAAGAGUUAGGUCGACAAGUUUUCAAACUUCAACCAGACAUUGCUGUACCAUGUGGCCAACCCUUUUCGAGAGGACGCCCACAUGAUUUGAUCAGAAGAAAGAAAAACAAAAGUUGGUUUGUCUGUGGAGUCCUUGAGUGGGAAGUUAAUGGGUUUCGACUAAGCCAACCGACGCCAAAAAUUGGCUUGCUUAGGCUGCUCACUAUUGUAACUCCAUGGCUUUAUAUUAUUCAUGGAGAAUUGGCACGAGGAGUGGAAUUUUCUCCAUUUCCUUCCACCUACAGAAAUCUGGCAAACAGUUUUUCCCAUCAUAUUAAAUCUUUCCGUUCAACCCAAAGACCAAAAGAGCAAAACAAGUACUCUACAACCAAUCAAUAGUCGGUGUGGAGUGGAGUGGGACUUCCUCUCCCGCGCCGUAGGGAUUAGUCGGAUCCCGUAAGAAUUGAUCCGAACACCCCUGUGUCGACAAAAAAAAAAAAAAGUACUCUACAACCAAUCAAACUAUUAAUCAAUAGUAUAAUUUUUAUUUGAUUUCUCCUUCGAUCUGUAUAUGCAUCAAGGUAUUAAAAUCGCGACACCCGUAAUUGACACGAGACAGCAACCACGUCUGAUUGAAUUUACCAUGUGUGCCCGAAUUGUAGCAUGUUCAUUGAAUUGGUUCUCGAUCAUGAGUAUGGGAAUUUGUAAAUUACAUAUUCAUCUAUCUUUAGUACAAAAACAUGCUUUUGACCAAAAAGAAAAAGUAUAAAAGCAUGCACCCUAUUAGAAAUCAAGUUUAAGCAUUUUCUUUUUUCCUUUUUUGUUUUGAGUACAUCAAAACUUAAGUUUAGAAUGCAAAAAUCUUAAGGCUACUCAAUAAGUUAUUGGUGCUUAGUCAAUUUUUAUAGUUUGAUCACUUCACGUUUGGAUUGCUAUUUAUAGGAAUUUUUGUAGAAAAAUGUAUCGUAAUGAUUUGAUGCAUGUACAGUAAAAAAAUGAACGAAAAAUGUGUUCUCGAAAAAUAUAAUUUUUUUUUGCAAAAAACCACAAUCCAAACAUAGAUAUCCUUUAUUUUUUAAGAUAAAGUUUGGGUGAGUUUAACUCUGGUCACCACCAUAAGCAUAGGAUACACUCUUUUGUAAGAAAAUGAUCCGUUCUUAUCAAUUGAAUUAACUUGUGUUGGCUUAAAAAAAAAAGAAGAAUUCCUCUCUUAGCAUGUUCAAUGUUUAAUUGUUUAAGUACCAAAUGCAAGCAGCAGGACAGACGUGCAUCAAGUCAUCAAAAUUUACAUGCAUAAAUUGUUUGGGAGGAUUGAAGGCAAAUAUUUUCGUCAAUAGUACAUUUAUAAUUUUUUUGAAUAGCUUUUUUUCAUGCAUUGUCAGUGUAUAAUUUUUUUACAUUAACAAAUUUAAAUCAUAUCGCAUAACAUGAAUAAUUCAAAUCAUGCACAUGUAGCAUGCAUCCAAAGUUGCUAGUGUAAAAAAAUUACUACAUUGUCAAUGCAUAAAAAGUUAAUUCUUUUUUUUAAUUAAUUGAAAUUUCACGUUUCAACCACGUAAUAGGCUCAUAUUCUAUUGACAAAAUAGGGAAACUGGCCGGGCAACUUCUUGAAUGUAAGAUACGAUCCUCUUGUAUUGGCCCCAAACUACUCCGUGCCCAAUGGGCAUAUCACCGAUGGGCGGUGGCCCAAUAAGAGCUCUUAAGUUGCCGCCAAAUCCCUGAACUUUUCCUCUAAAUCCCAAAAAUGUCCUCAUCCCCAUCCUCAGAGCUUCCCCUUCACCCCUCCCAAAACCCUAGCAACUGGCGCUUCACAUGGGAGGCCCAAUCUCACAUCCCAACCGUCCGAUUAUAUCUCUUCAACCCCCACAUCAAACCCUCAGCUCAAUGCAUCAACUUAGAGGUCGACUUAUCAGUGGACCAGUCUUCACUCCUCGUCAGAUUCUACCAAGCAGAAGCCGAAGCCGAAGCCGAAGCCUGCACUUCAUUUCGGGUCCCGCUCCCUAGAGUUUUAAUCGACCCGGAGUCACCGGUUCAGUUCACAGCUUAUGAUGAUCAUAUUCAUGUUAAACUCGCUCUGCUUCUUCCCAUUGAUCAUCCUCUUGUUUCGCAAUUUGAUUCCUCGUCUGAUGAGUACCGGCCACUUUCCACCGAUUCCGGUGAGCUUAUAACCAAUCACUUAAGAUGGAAUCUUUUUAUUCUUUUUGAUAUUUCUAUUCGCUUAUGAAUGAUUUGCUGUUUAGGAGCAUUUGUCAUUUGGUUUUAAAUUUGUUUGUGAAUAUGUUUUAUUCUUUUUUGGAACAAAUGUGGCAAUGUCGCUGGUAUUUUGCUUUCAAGAUGGAUGGUGGAUGAUUUGACCUUCACUGCGCAUAAAGCUGUGACAUUUACUUUUGAACAGGUCAUUUUGCGAUGAAUAAUUGCUUGACUAAAUGAUGUGUGAGCUGAAAUAUCUUUUAGCUUACCAUUGUCCUUCCUUUGCAAUCUGGAAGAAAGAAUAUGGAAUUGCUCGUGCUUCUAGUGUCUGCAACAUGAGUUCACUUGGCUUUCAAGUUUUAAGGGCAAGUUGGGUACAGAUUGGGAACCCGUGAUUAUACAAUUUUCCUUUUUGUCUAGAAGUCUUUUCUUUUUUGGGCACUUAUUCAAACACUGACCCAACCUUUUGGUUUUAUUUAUUUAUUUAAUUUUUAUUCAAGUUGUAGUAAUCAUGCACAAGCUAAAUUGUCAGUCAUACUUGUCAAGUUGAUUUAGGUGGAGCUACAGAGUGGAGAAUGUUAUUCGAUUUGUAGUUAGAAUUAGGCUGAGGAUAUUGUACACACGGGUGGGUGGAAAAAAGUUUGUGACAUUUGAUAUUUGUUUCUCUUGUGAAGGAAAAAUGGUUGUGUUUAAGUUUAAAUCACCGUAUCACUUUUUCUUUGUCUAUUUCAUUUUGAAGAUGACGAGCUAACAUGUUUUAGCUUAAUAUUUCUGUCUUUCCUUUCAUGGCAUCUAAGAGGUAUCUUUGGAAGCUCAAAUAUUGUAUCUUGUCAAUCUGUGAUGAAUCUUUUUGUUUCCAUUUAAUUUUUUCCUUUUUUAAAAUUUCGUUUGGUAUUUGUAAUCCAAGUGUAUUCCUAGUAAUUAUGGUUGUUCGUUUAGAUCUAAAGAAUUUAUCUGCUUUGGAGGAAGUGUACUUUUACUGCAGAAGUUGCUCAGCUAAGUUGACAAGAUCUCUCAGGUAGAUUCUACUUCGAACAUUUUUGGAGGAAAUACCAAAAUCCUCAUGGGUGCUGAUUCUUUCUUCUAUAAAUAUUGCAUUUUCAUGUAUGAGACAUUUAUGAUUUCUAGAACAUUUUUGCCCCCCCCCCUCCCCUCCUUCCCCUUUUUUCCCCUGAAUCACUGGCAAUCUCUUCUUUGCCAGUUAAGUCCUGUACUCUUCUUGUGGAAGGGUUACCUCACCUCCUUUCAUGGUACGGCCCGGUAGACGGCUAGAUUUACCAUUGGCUUGGAAGACCUAUAGAACCUACAUUCAGUUUGUUCUUUCUUUUCCUGAACAAAUAGAUGGAAUCCUACCUUGUUCAUUGGGAAUUUAUUUUACUCUUUCUUAGAUUUUAUUACAAUUGUUUUAUGCAUUAAAGGAUGUCCUUUUCUUGGCUGAACUUUCCAAAUUAUAUAGAUGUUUCAAGGAGAUGCCAUCAGUCAAUUGGCAAGAAGCAGCAGACAAUUGGUUUGGGGCUUGUUGUUGUUCAUUUGGAGGUAUCAGUGAGAAGCUGGUUAGAAGUUAUGCAAAGUCCUAUACAUGUGCAGCAGGUGUUUGUCUCUUAGAUACAGAAUCUGUCAUUUUGUGCAAGGACGAUCUUGUGGGAUGUGAAUUUCCUGGAUUUAAUUGGAACCAAAGUGUUGAGUUUAAUCUGAAAUUGACUACUGACGAUAUUUUGGUCAAAGCUUCCUCAGAUGAUGCAAGUAAACAUGGGCAAACUGUCUGCUCUGAGAAUGAUGACUUUGGGAGGGAGGUCAGCAAUGGCAAGGAACAUCAUCUUGGUUCUGAGGAAGAAAACCUCAAAGAGAAACUGAGGCAUGAAGCUACUGGAAAUGCUGGUGAUUGUGGUAACUUAUCUUGCCUGUCUUCACACUUACAGACUGCAGAAAACAUGGCAACUUGUCCUGACUUCCAUGCAGUUAUGAAACAUGAUCUUGGGUACUGUGAUAAUGGAUGUCAUAGUCUUGAUCGUUUAGAAAUCUCUUCAGAGGAAAAAUCUGGAAGGGAUAUUGAACUCCUAGAGCAUCAGAAAGUAUUACUUAAUGGCUUUCUUUGGAAUGGUUUCCUGGCAAGAUCCUCCAAUCUUUCAAAAGAUGUUAGGUGGGUCGAAUUCUUGUGUCCUCAAUGUUCUUCCCUACUUGGAGCAUACCCUUGCUUCAGUGAUAGUAGUCCAUUGGACAGUGGAAUUCGCUUGUUUAAAUGCCACAUUUCAACCACUUUACCUGUUGGUGGCUCCGGUAAUACGUUUAGGUAAAAGACUUCUAUUUAUGAUUGCUAUCACAAGAAGUGUUGUAAGUUUUGUGCUUGUGACAGUUAUGAUCAUUUAUUUGUUUUUCAAUUGUGGAAGGACACAUACCCAAUGCUCUUAUAAGAUGUAUAAGAGUAGGUCUUAGAAGGAGAAAGUCAUCUUUCAUAAGUUGUUUAUUUGUAAGUGGGUCUGUUAGUAUGGCUCUGAUGAUAUGCUGUGGAUACUUUGAUUUCUUUUGGGUUUGACAUUUUAGGAAAUAAAUCCUAAAUCCAUCAAAGAAAACGACUUCUAUCCUUUUUUUUCCCAAAAAAGGAAGGAAGUCAUUCAUUGGAAAUAAGAAAAGAAAAUAUUGCUAUGGCUUUAAACACUGGCUAUUGGUAGUGUCACUAUGCCUCUUCCUCCAAUUGGUUAGUUUACACUAAAACAUCUUCAGCGCUCUUUCACUUUAGUUAGUUGGCCAGCAGAACUGGGUGUUACAUUAUAUUGGGAUACUUUCGCCUGUUAUAUUAUGUGUUCAGCAUCAUGAAGGGAAUAAAGCAUGCAAGUGAUGUUGGUUAAUUAACUAUUUACUCUUCUUCAGUAUGUUGGAACCUUUCCUAAUGUCCUUUAUUAUUUUUAAUUAAAUCUUUCUUGGUCUGAAUUUUGCAAAGUUCAAUUUUGUGCAGAUGUUAUAGCUUGGAGAGGAUGUUUGCAAUUCAGUUGCUGGAAAGUGCAAAAGAUGAAUUAUCAUUCCGGACUGUUGUGAGAGAUAUGCAAACCAAAUAUCCUAUGCUGCAAAUUGUUCUGUUGAACCCGGAUUCUUGGUGCUGCAGUGGAUGUUGUUUGUACUCCACUGAAUCAGCUUCAAGGAAAAGCAUGUAUCCAACCAUCAAGGUGCUAUUUUCUGCCUGCUGCAAUGAUGAGGAAAACGAGUCUAGGUCAGUUAUUCAAAUGCAUUUGAUCUAUUUCGUGCAUAUAUUAAGGCAUUGUUUGUCCACCAGUUGACAGCAGAGUAAGUGUCAAUAGGGUAAUAUAGCGAAGUGGUCUUCAAUGUACAAUAAUUAGUCAUCUGAUUAAAUUUCGACGUGGCUGGAAUGUGUUAUCAUACUUUUCCCAGGGGCCUUUCUUCUUUGAGGAGCAAAUGCAUCUAUGAUUGAUUUUAUGGAUUGGCUCUAGAAAGAUUCUGUAAUGGUCACUGCUUAAACACAGCUUAAUAGCAAUCUGUUUUUCCGAUUUUGACUCUAUCCAGAAUUUAUUUGGCCAUGGUUGAAUCAUGUGCAGGAAGCUUGAAGAAUGGAUUACCAAGAAUCAAGCAGAUGAAGUGUACAUGUUGCCAUCUCAAAUAGGAAACUUGAUUUCCUAUUUAAAGUCGGCUAAUAGUAUGUACCCUCCAUCACAAGUUCCCCUGCAGAAUCUGUCCCUGUCAUCCAUGAGAAGAUAAACAAGAUACGGGAGAUUUUGAUCUCCAACAAAAUCUUAUUGUGGUCGGUUUGCAUGAGGAGGAUCUGAAAUCCCAAAGAAGGCUCAGAUUUUUAAUCUUGCAAGUUCUAUAGAAUUGUACGCAAUUUCAAGUUGCCAGAUUACUAGGGGGCUGAUCUGGCUGUCAUUCUGUUCCAUGACCAGAGGUUUAAAAAUCUCCCUCCGACUAUGCACGCUCUUUCAAGAGGAAAAAGAAGCGUCUAGGAUAUUGAAACUUACAGUUCAUCAUGGCAGUGCCAGUACGAUUAUAACACCUACCAUUAGAGGCAUUUGAAGCGUAACUGGUGCCCUUGCCCGACAGAGAGGGUGGAAAAUUAGGGGUUGCAAUGGUAUGCGGAGCCCGCAACUUACGAGGUAUGGGAUUCUGUGAUCGAGUCAACAACGACGAGACGCAGUCCCUGCAUACAUGAAUUUCCCUUUGUUCUUUGGUGGGACUGGUAUAUAUGUUUGCUUUGUUCUUUGGUGGAAAAUAAAAAGCUAUUAUUCCAAAAGAAAAAAAGUAAAUUAUGCUGUCUAAUUGGUGAUAUGUUCUUUGAAAAUUAUUUCGUGGCAAUCAUUUUGUCUCGGAGGAUAUUUUGAAUGCUAACAAAUAUUUUGGCUAUUAACCUUCUCUGUUUGCUGAUUACUUGAAAUUUACAACUGCAAUAAAGCCAUACAACUAACCACAAAAACAACCAACCAUCUUAAGCUUUAAAAAACUUCAUAAGAGAAACCAUAAAUCUAAACUUAAGACACUACAUAAGAGUAAAAGAGAAGAACUAAAAAUCAUCAUGCAUAAUUUAAGAACUACAAGGAAAAGUAAAAGAGAAGACACACUAAUGAUAACCGCUAGGGGUGGGCACGGGUCGGGUACCCGCCCCUAACAUGAUUUGGCUGACCCGACCCUAAUAUAUCGGAUCAGCCAUUUUGCGACCCUAACCUGCUCCUAAUAUUUUCGGGUACCCGAAAAAAAGGGGCGGGUCAUAGGGUACCCGCCCCUAAAAAAAACUAUUUUUCAAUAAAAAAAAUUAUUUUCUACUUAAUAUCAACAUAUUUUUCAAUAAAAAAACAUGCUUUUCCAAUUAAUAUUGGUAGAGAUAUUGUAAUUAAAGUCCAUACAUCACCAUUUUCACACAUUUCAUCCAAUAAUCAAAUCAAUCUCAUAAAUUUAGUACAUAUUAGAAUAUCUAAUGGACAAAACGAAGUUUCAUAAUAAUUUUGAGUACAUCACCAUUUUCACACAUUUCAUACUUCUACAACACAACAAACACAAGGAUAAUAAGUAUUUGGUAACUUCCCCAAGGAUAUUAUGGUACAAGACCGCAUCUCAAAUAAGUCAAUUGUGAAAUCAAGUUCGGAAAAGAAUUGAAUAGAACUAAUUAUUUUUGAAAAAAAUAUAACCAAAAUAAUGUUAAAAAUCUUCCCCAACUUCUUUACAUCUUUGGAAUAGACCUUAUGGUAUUAAGGUGAUGAAAAAGAAAAAUAAAUUUCUUGCACUAAAUAAAAGAGACAAAUUUAAGAGAUAUAAUUGCAAAUGAAUGACACAAAUAUUUUAAUUAUCUAGCUAACAGAAAAUUGAGACUCCAAACAAAAAUCUUUGAUUGAAUUGAUGCAAGAUUUGCAGGAAAGAUCGAUGGAGAUAGAAUAAAAAUAAAAAAGAUGAAAGGGAUGAACAAUUUUUAUAACAGAGUUUCACAAAUUUUUUUUUUCAUUUUGUUCAUGUUUCACCGAGAAUAUUCACUUUCUUCAAAAAAAAUGAGAAGAGUAGAUCAUAUAGGAUUAGAAUAUGAGGCUGCGAGCCACUUCACUUGCACUUAGGAUUAAAAAUUACAAAAUUAUAAAAUGAUCCCUACUUUUUAAAUAUUUAUAAAAUAUACCCUGCGGGUCGGGUACCCGCGGGUUUUUAUUUUUCUGAUCCGUAUCCGUACCCGAUUUUUCGGGUACCCGACCCUCAUCUGCCCCGCUAAGAAAAAUCGGAUCGGGUAUCCUAUUUUUCGGAUCGGAUCGGAUCGGGUUCAUCGGGUUUUCGGAUCGGCGGGUUUUUUUGCCCACCCCUAAUAACCGCACUUGAAAAGGAAAAAAAAAAAAAAACACGCGUGCACUACUAAACGUGCUUUUCUGCGACUUUUUGAAUUAUUCACUACUUGAAAAAUUGAUAGGAACUUUAUUAGUGGAAUUGACCACUAAAAUUCUUACAUUUUGACUGCAGAAGAAACAAAGGAAGUUCUUGUAUUAAUCCAGAAGGAAUGACUAAUUCUUUCGUAAAGGUGAAUGACACCUAUGUAACAGACGAAGAAUACAACUUGUAUUAAUGGAUUCUUUGGACAAAGCUUAUAGAAUUUGCAUACGCUUUAACAAGUCAAAUAUAUCUGCCAUUGGACUUUAUGCUUCCUCUUUUUGAGAGGUCAAAAGCCACAAAGUAUAAAAAGAAGAAUAUAAUGUCACAAGAGUGGAGAAGAAUGCAUUGUCGUAGUAUCAGCUGGAGGCAUUAAAAUCGCAGAAAUAAAUUUCAUGCAAGAAAUCCUUUUAGCAAGAUGUUGUGUCGACUGAACUUUAUCCACCUUCCGAAAGUGGCUACAUGAAUGGGCUCAUAGCAAUUAUUUUAAGCUUUAAAGAUCAUGGCCUUGAAAUUGAAUGGGUGAUGACAGUAGAUUUUCGGUUUCUUGGAAUAAAAUCAACAUUAGUGGUUGAAUUAUUUGAACUUGAUUCCAAAUUCUAUACGUUUUUUUGGACACGAUUCUUUUUCCCCAAAUGAGUAAACUUUACUUAAAUUUUCUAGAAAUAAAAAGUAGAAUUUAUUUUAUUUUAUUUUAACAAUGAAAAGAGGUCUUGGUUUUUUUUUUUUUUUGAGAAACCAAUUGCUCAACCAUCACAUUGCAUAUUAUUAAUAGCUUCCUAAAACCGUAAACCUAACCUAUAAUCCAUAUGAUUUGAUAUUUUGUUCAGAUUGAGCCACACCAUUACGUAUCUGAUCCCAGACAACCCACCAUGCAUGUAUUGCUCAAUCCUAAUGAAUCUGGGUACUCUAAUAAGUGUAGGACUUGGAGUUUUAUUAUUGAAACGUUAUCAUGUUUUUAAUUUUUGCUAAUAAAUACGAAGUGCUGGCAAACCAGUAUAUUUACCAAGAAUCAGAAUACCAUAAUGCCUCUCAUUUCACAAUUUUAUACUCGUGUCUUUCUUUUGAUCUUUAAUUGACUAAUUGAUUAGUGAAAUGUAUAUAGAUUGUCUCACGUGCUUUUUCCGAAUGUCUCUCAACGAGUCGGAUAGAGGUAUAUUCAUGAUGGAUUUAAAGAUUAAAAGGAAUGAUUGAACUUGGCUUGUGUUUAAUAAUUUUUUGAAAGAAUUUAAUUGAAUUUGGUUUGAAAUUUCAGAUAUAUAUUCACAAAAAGUUUGGCUUGACUUAUCAAAAUAUCGAGUUCAAAUACAUACAAUCAAAGCUUGGCUUGUCUUGAAAUUUCAUAUUAUAUUAUAUAGAGAUUUUCACCCUAAUUUGUUGCUUUUUUUUUUCCCUUAUUUUUUGCCCUAUGAUAUUCAAGAAAUCUAUUACAAUGAAUUAGUGAUGUGAUUAAAGUUAAUUAUGCCUAUUUAAAAAAUCUAUUACGAUGAGUUAUGGAAGUGAUCAAAAUCAAUUAUACCUAUUCAAGAGAUAAGAGUAGUAUAUCUAUUCAAAAGACAGCUAUAUUUUAUAAGACAAGUAAUAUACGGGAAGGAAAGAAGUGGGGUUAAAAGUAUUAUAUGCUUGCUAUAAAGAUAAGAUAAGCAAUAUAUAGGAAGGAAAGGAGUGGAGUUAAGAAAGAAAACUUUAUAUAUAUUUUUAUCAAAUUUGCUUGCCGUAAAUGUUUAUGAACACAUCGAGCUGGACAACGUUUCCCACCCUGAAUAGAUGAAAGCUUAUACCAUCCCACUCUUUUUAAUUUGAUUAAUCAGCUGGAUUCUAAUAUUUUAGUAGGAUGUAAUAAAUUUUUUUUUUUUACCUAGACUAGGUUGCUAAAGAUCGUACAGAGUAGUACAAGUAGGUUAACCAAUUUCCCAUGAUCAUUAAAUAUUUGACCAAUUUAGUAGGUAAAGAACAAGAUUCAACCAAAGUUAAGCUCAAGGCUCACUUAACUAGUAUUCUAUACCAUGUAGAAAUAAAAUUUACUUCUCCAUUCAAUUAAAAAUAUGAACUUUCAUGCAUGCUUAUUGUUAUAAUUAUGACAAGUGUCACUUAAAUUUUGGUAACACCAUAAAAAUGGCCGCUAUAGCAUAAAAAUAUUUAAAAAAAUGGUCGUACAGUUAACAAAAAUUCAAUCUAUUUUUCUCAAUCAUUUGCAAAUUUAUGAUUUUUUUUUUGGCCUUCUUCUCUAAUUGGCUGUGAUUUGUACUCAUUGUAUUUAGUUCCCAUAUUGAAAGUCAAAAAAAAGGAUAAGGGCAUAAAAGAAAUAAGGAUAAAUAGGUAUUUCAGAUUUUAUGAACUAAUAAGGGCAUAAAGAGGAUAAGAAAAUUUAACACCACAAAAGUAAAAAUACUAAACGAUACUCAGAAUGUGUUUGGUUUGCAUUCCAAAAUCACAGUCAUAAAUCUUUCAUCAUUUUCCAACCUUGUUGCUCCAUUUAGAACCAAGUUGGAUUUCAUUCUAGUAAUUAUUUAAUCAAUUUGAAAUCCAAGUCAUUACAAAUAUUUUUGACACCUUUUUCCCAUUAACGGAUUUCCAUAAUAUAUAGUUUAUCAAAUAAUAGAUAUAAAUAGCCUCAAGAAAACAAUAGAUAGAGGUAUCAUUAACUUCAAUGCUAAUUCCUAACUCAUUUGCCAAAAACCCCUAAAGCUAACCAUUACAAGUAUGGAUCCGUUAGGAUUACAAGCAUGGCAACCAUCCGCCUGUCUAAUGACCCUAACCAGCGCUAUAAACAACGGUCUAAUGAACCUAAAUAAAAUAGUGCUGUAAACAACGGCCUUAUCAUUUCAUUACUACUAGUAAUACUGCAAGUGCUUUGCUCGUGGUUAUAUUUUCCCAAACUUUUAUGUAUUAUUUAUAAUGGAGUAUUUUGUGAAAUAUUAAUCAUUAAAACCAUAAAAAUUUUUCUUUCCAUCAAUCAUGCAUAGGGUGUACUUCAUCCCUAUAUAUAAAGAAAGAGUGGCAAAUUAUGAUGUAUUAUUAUUCAUGCUAACACAUAUGAAGUAAAAUCUGUUGAGUUAUAAUUUUCGGAUUCAACCUUCAAGAAUGUAGCAAAAAAUUAAUUAACUUUGGCAAGAGAUUGCACAUCUUGAGUGCCAAAUACAAAACAAGAUCUGUGGAGUUAUAAUUUAUAAAUCUAACCUUCAUAAACGGUAUCAAACAUGAUAGAGUUCUGGCUAUGUAGAGAAGUUUAUCUUGAGCUUCUCCUUUACAAACCAUUAAUACAAAUUAUGGCAGUACUAUGUUGGUUCCUUUUUAUAAUUUCGCCAUAUAAAGGCAGUAGUAAUAACGUGUGCAUGAUGAUGAAACCAAAUAAACAGAUAAGACCGGGACUACGAAACCAUAUUGUCAUUUGGGUACAUUGGUGCGUUGUAUCCUUAAGGUACAUUGAACUAUAAACGGAUAUGAGUAGGUGUGUGAUAUAUUGCUACAUUGUAAAUUUCUAAUAAUAGAAAUUUUUUUUUAGUAUGUAUCCUUAAGGCACACGAUAAGCCUACAAAAUACAAACGAUGGACCAAUUUCAAAUUUUAAAUAUCAUUAUCAACCCCCAAAAUCUAGGAAACUUUAGCAAUAAAUUUUAAACUUUUCCUUAACUAAUACCUGAUCCACCCCUUAAUUAUCAUGUGUUUUAAGGGUACAAAGAAUCCUCGUAGAAAUAAUAAUAUAUGGUAUCUUAGAACGAGGGAAUGCAAAUAAUAAGCACUUAGAUAAAUUUAGAGAUAAUUACGGUCAGCAAAUUUGUAUCAUAACCAUUCAUUACACUAUUCUUCCCAUACUUUAUCUUUCAUUAAAGUUUCUAACUAUGUUUUUGGCCCAUUAUUUCUGAAUGCAUUUUGAUCUAACAAUUUAUUUUUCUGAAUGACUUCUUAAAGAUCUUAAUUUACCAAAAUUAAUAUUGUGGAUAUCUCUUAUGUUCUAAAUUAAACACGAGUUCAGCACAACCAAAAUUUACACACAAAAUAGUUUAGAUGUUUGAGAAUUAAGAGUAUUUUUCAUGCUAACCUUUCUUCUUCUUUUCCUCCUCUAUUAGAGAUGUCCUUUGAAGUGUGUGCUGGAUGGACCUGAUUGAAUCACCUUAAAAAAACAAAAAUCCAGGCACAAGCAACUUAGCCUCCUUUACACUCAAAGAACUCAAAUGUUCUUUUUGGUAUUGUUUGAAUUUUCUUUAUUAGCUUUAUAUUUAAUUGUUUGUUCACUUUAUGCCAUUUAAUUAUUGAUUUUCAAUUCUAUGGAGCUUUCCUUUUUUUUGUGGAAAGUUUUGUAGUUUCUUUUGGGCAUUCCACUAAUCUGUGUUUUUAAACUCGGACCGGAUCGGACGAUCCGACCGGUCGAACCGAGAAGUGUUUGGUCCAAGUUGUUCUUCAAAAUCGAAAGACUGAAAACCCGGACAAAAAUCGGGUUUGACCGGAAAAAAACCGGUUCAACCAGAGCAUUUUUUAAAAAAAGGUUAAACUUUUUCAAUAUUAUGUUUUGACCCCUAAAUUUUUAAAACUUAUUAAUAUACCUCAAAUAUUUCAUACUUUAUAAAUGUUGUCCUAAAAUUUGAUGUUAUUUUUCAAUCAAAUCCAUAAUUUUAAUUCUAAACUUAUUAAUGUUCAUUAAAUAAUAUAAAUUGCUACUUGACUGUUCUAAUUUCUUUGUAUUUUCUUGUUAAAUAUAUUUGAAACAUCAAAUAUAUAUGAAUGUACCUUUAUUAAUAUUAACAUACUUUUAGGUAUUUUAUAUACAAUAUUUUAAUUUUAAAUAAUUUUUAUUUAUGACAUCAUCCGGUUCAACCCCGAUCGAAGCCGGUCGAACCCAUUGACCCCUGACCCCUGAGUUUGGCCGAGUCGAUAUCCGGUCCGAGUCUGAAAACAUAGCCACUAAUGAGAUUAAAUUUGCCAUUGGAUAUAGAAUAAGAAUUAUCAACCCUUAAAUUACUUCAAGAGUCUAAAUCACUGAAUGAUGCGACAAGAUAUAAAAGGAUUUGAAUAAUGGGUACUGUAUCCAAGAGGAACUGUAAUAUUUUCCUUUUUUUAGCUUAUUUGCUUGUUCUUCAUAAUGAAUUUUAAUUAUUGCAUUGUGUUAUUUCAUUUAUGCAUAACUUUUUAUUAUAACAAUUAAUAACAUGAUUGAUAUUCAUUCCCUCAUCAUUAUUGAAAUGCAUUAUAAUUAUUCUAUAGAGGGUAGUUUAGGUAUUACAAAAAGUAAGACAAAAUCUGUUUACACUACCUAUACUUCUAGACCCAUGAUACUUUUACAGGGAGUAUAGACAGAGUCGUGGCUUUCUUUUGCUCUUGAAUUGAUUACGUAAAUGACCAAUAGGGGUUGGUUCGAGUGGUAAGCAGUUUGGAUUAGCUUAAGCAUGUUUCGUGUUCGAGUCCUAGUGUACGCAGACACCCCUGUUGAAAGACUCACCCAUCAUAGCCAGGUGUGCGACGCAGGUCGGGUCCGGAUUAGUCGGGGCAAAGUUCGGAUACCGGGCGGUCAAUCAAAAAAAAGAAUUGAUUACGUAAAUGUGCAUAGCUUGUCCCACAUGUUUUUUUUUUCCCCAAAUAUCCUUGAAUAGCCAAACGAAAUCUUGUACCGUUCCACUCCUUUCAAAUUGGUUAAUCAAUUGGAUUAACAUUUUUUUUGGCCGGAAAAAAAUUUCUAUAGAUCGUGCAUUUUAUCAUUGAACUAGUGCAAAGUGGAUUAACCAAUUUCCCAUAGGUCGAGCAUAGCACUACUACUUGAUCUAUAAGACAUUCAAAAUUUAUCUUCCUCUCUCAGAAUCCUUCUUCGUCGAGGACAUGUAGCGCAUUAGUUGAACGCAGAUUCCUUAGAAUGCAUGGGAACUUAUUCGUUUACGAAAUGGGCAAUCGAGAGAGAGAGAGAGAGAGAGGCAGGAUUAUAAUUUCUCGAAGGGCCAAGAUCGACCAAAGGGUCGUAUGGCAUUUUAUGCAUUGAUCAGAAUCUCUUCAAUAUUCGUUGCUUGGUUAUAAAUAGAGUUUGGGAAUGAUCAGUUUUUGCAAUGCAAUGCAAUGGGUUGAUAGGAAGGUAAGAGGAAGAGAGGCCUUACAUGAAGGUAAAGGUCCUCAUUUGGUAGCCAAGGAUGACUUGCCUGCUCCACCUCAGGGGGUUUCUCUAAGUCCACAAGUAAACCCUUUGUCGUGGUCGCCAGGAAGUCUCCUUGGCUAGCCUGAGAGGCUCUUUUCUCUCAUGCUAGGUCUUCUUUUCCCCUGCAGCCUCUGCCACCUCCCAGUCCUUUAUGAUUUUCUUUUAUCUCUUGCAAUUAUUCAAUUUUCCAUUAACUCCUUCAUCGUCGUGCUUUGCAGUUUGAGUACUUGCGAUGAUUGACAAAGCAUUGCAGUUUGAGUAUUAACUUUUGUUUAUCAGAAGCGUUGAAAAAUUUUCAUCAUAACACCGAUAUUUUGCAUUUCGGUACGUAAAAGUAUGUCUUGCAUUGUUUUAGCAUCAGCCAUCGUCUACUCCUCGGAUAAAUGUCAGUAAGAUGGAUCGUCUGUUUCAACAUUCGACCAGGUUUUACAAUAUUCGAUCCGACAAAUUUUUGUUUUUUGGGGGGUGGGAGGGGGAGUAAUUUUUGUUGGAGAAAACCUUACAAGCGCACAAAUUUUAGUGCCCCUAUUCCCUGUUCCCUAGCAUUUAAUUUGUAAGCCAUGUUUACUAAUCCUUCCUUUCUGUCUGUCUUCUUUUAUUUACAGAUCAAUUGUUUUUUUUAAAAAAAAAAAAAAAAAUCUUUAUCAAGAAAACAAAGGUGAAGUUCUUUGAAGUAUUCGGAGCAGGACUCCAAACGUAGUAAGGUGCCUAAGAUUCUCAUGUAAUGGCAAAAUCCAAUUAGGUCACGAAUGAAAUUUAAUGCAGGAACGAGGAACGAAACAAAAACCGUUCAUGGGACGUGUCAUACAGCAGCACUAAAAGUCUUCAAACAGCUCUCCGUGCCUUGAAUACCCAACAUUUUAGCAGCACACUUGGACGAUUGUGGGCAGAUGGCAUAUUUCAGCAACACAACUACUUACAAAUCCAGAAUAUAUUAUCAUGGAGCAAAAUAUCAAUAAUAUAUUUCUGUAUGGGUGUGAUCCAAUGCCCACCAAGCCACCAUGUGUACAUUUGCCUCCCAAGGGCCGGGCCCCAAAGAUUUAUGGAUAUACACUGUUUACAUCCAAGCCACGAUUGAGGCAUUUAUGUCCGGAUCCCUUUAUUUAAUCCAUCCAUUGAACCAAAAAUAUCCUGCCAAGGAGGGGAGCCUUCAUGAAGCUUUCGUGGGAGCAUUAUGAUGACGAUGCGGAAUUUUUUUUGUCUCUUAAAGUUCUCAUACGCGGUGAAGUGUCACCUUACCUAGCUUAUCACUCAUAAGAAGAUCUUUGAUUAAAAAGAGCGUUUUCAAUUGACCAACCUUAUCUACUGCCGACAGAGGACACUUGUCACUGUCAUGCACAGCCACGUAACAUCUUGCAAACUGACGCGGUGUCGGUACUGCAUGAAUUCGGCUUACACCUGGAACGCUGUUUGUGGCUCUUCCUCUGCAUGCACCGGCAAAUCCUCAUAACUUUACUGAUCUUUUUGGUUGUUCCCUUUCUUCUUCAGCUUGCCUAUAUAAAAACAGGGUUCCGCUGCAACUAUUUCUCGUCAAAUCCACCCAUUUGUGUGAAGAAGUCUUAUCAGUCAGUCUCUGAUCUUUCACCUUUCAUUGAUUUGUGUUCUAUAUUCUACUUCCGCUAGUAGUUGAAAUUUGGCAAUUAAGAUGGCACAAUACGGGGCUGAAUAUGGCAACCAAAAGAGCCAGUACGAUGAGUACGGAAACCCAGUUCGUCAGACAGACGAAUAUGGUAACCCAGCCCGCCAUGGAGGUACCAUGGGUGAUUAUGGAACCACUGGCACUACUGGAGCCUAUGGUGGCACAGCUGGAGCACAUGGGACUUAUGCAACUGGAACCACCGGCACUACCGGUACCGGUGCGUAUGCCACCCAGCCUGGCACUGAUGUGGGGAAGGAGCACCAUGGCCUUGGUGGCAUGCUUCAUCGCUCUGGUAGCGGUAGCUCUAGCUCGGUAUGCCCUCCUAAUUAAUCUCGUCUUGCUUAAAUUGUACUGAGUUGUAGUAGCAUUUAACAAAUCUUGACCAGCUUGUGAUGACUGGUAAUUAAAAAGUUCUUAUCUGUUUUCUUUUUGUUUUUUCGGUUGGGAUGCAGUCCGAGGAUGAUGGGCAAGGCGGGAGGAGGAAGAAGGGGAUGAAGGAGAAGAUAAAGGAGAAACUGCCUGGCGGUCACAAGGAGGCUCGACCUGGACAAGAAUAUUCGAGUGCUACUACAGCUCCUGGAUACGGCGGGGAAGGAGAGCAGCACGAGAAGAAAGGAAUUAUGGAUAAAAUCAAGGAGAAAUUACCAGGGGGUCACAACAACUGAAGAUCUAAUUCUAAUAAUAUGGGAUCCAAUUAUGAUAUUGUGUACCCCUAUUUUCAAUCUCAAUCUCAAUCUCGUUCGUGUCAUGUUUGUGUUUUCUGAGAUUUGAGUGUGUGGACGU